ACAGCGCGGAGAUUAGCAUCAAGGAGACACAGAGGCUUGGAAGAGGGCGGGGAGCGAGGGGGGGCCGCUGUCUCCUUCAUAAACCAGCCUCUUCCCCACCGCUCGGGAUUGAAACCAGCGGCUUCCUUUACGCGCGCCUGCCUGGGGUCCUUGUGGCGACAGGGCGGGGCGCGCGCGGUGCGUUUGCGCGCGCGAGAGGCGUUUUAACUUUUCCUCGACAUUCUCCUCAGGAUACCCCCGAGUUCCCCUUUUCCCAAGCCCCUCGGCGGCUUCUCUCCUUCCCUCACGCCGCCUCGAACUUCUCCGUUCAGGGGCUCCCCUAACCGCCUCUCCAAAAAGAGAGAGAAACAGAAAGGAGGAGGAAGAAGGGGUAAAAUCAAUCAGAGAACCCCAUGCAAAAGACUUGCCCGGGCCUGGAAGCCCCGGCUGGCGGUAGUAGCACCACCACCAAGUCUCUAAUCCUCGCCGAGGGAGGAGGAGGACGGUGGGAGUUGGGUCUGGCAGGGGACCGCGCGCGCUUCGCGGGCGUUUUCGCUGCUAAGGGGAGGCUGGAGGCCACCGUACCCGCCGCCGGCAAGACAGCGAGGCGCACACGUUGGCUGCAAAAGUCUGGAGGAUCUCAAGUCUGUGUUUGUGCAUGAGAUCGCAGGCGCCGGAUCGGUGCAGGAGAGGAACCAUGUGAGUGUGCCCCUCGGCUUCCUAUUCUUCAAGCCAAAUAAAUGCACGCGCAAUAACCCGGGAAGGGGAAUCAAAUCCUAAGAGAGAGAGAUUGGAGAGGGAGAGAGGCGCCGGGGUGGCGGAAAGUCUCUUUCUCCUUGGCUGCUUUUGUUUGCAAAUCCGGCGGCUUGGAAGAUGGAGAUGGAUGUUCGGGGAGUUUCUCCGUGCCCGGAGCCCAUCCCCCACGCCGCGCAGGGGUCUGGAGGCUGUCAGCAGCAGCAGCAGCAGCAGGAUGGGCAGGCAGGGGAAAGCGCCGGUGACAGCGCGCAGCAGCAGCCGGAGAAGAGGCAUAGCGGUGAGAAGGAAGACAAAAAGGUAGGUUCCCCCACCAACUCUGCGUCCUUCCCCCUUUGCCGAGGCGGAAAUCGCCGAGCGCGCACAGGAGGGGUUGGGUGGGGGUGGGGAAAGCCGCCUUUGAGAAACUGGGAGGGUCGAGCGGGUGGGGGAGAGCAAUCUGGAUAUAGGAAGCAAAUGAUCGUGGAUGGGGGAGGAAGGGGAGUAAAAAAAAAAAAGGAGCUCUACGUCUCUCCGUGCAGAAAUGGUGCCUUGGAUUUUAAGCCUAAAUGUAUGCGUUGUUAUGCAUUUUUUAAAAACUUAGGUUUUGGAAGUGCUCUUGUCAUUCCCCACCCGGUUUGAUGCUUUUCUUUUCUUUUCUUCCUUCCCCAAAUCGAAAACAAUGAGUUAUUCGGCGCAGACAAGGGCGGUCCUAAUGUGGUUUAAGGGCAAGGCAAGAUUAAGAAGUCUGAAAGAGCCACUUGUUAAGGGUGGGACCCUUCUCUGAUAAGGAUUGUGGUUCUUUUUCAACAGCGUUGUUCUGGGUCCAGUGUGGAGGGCGCGGUGAGGGGUGGGGCGCUUUACGAACUGCAACGACAACGGAGGAAAAACUGCUGGCUCAAAAGUUUGCUUUAACAGCAUAUCCCUUGCUGAAGUGUCUCCUCUGGCAUAUAGGGAACAGGGGCCUAGAAUGUGCUGAAUAGAUAUCAAAGGGAGAGGAGGAAAGCCUGCACGGUUUUGGGGUUUUUUGCUGCUACAUCCUUGCUGUGUCAUUGUAGAUGGGCUGCUUCAUCCUGUACCAAGAGCAAGAAUCCUUUGGCAAACUGAAAGAAAUGGGUCAGCCUUGCCUUCCUUGGUGGUGCUGAUAGAUCUUCUGCUCUGCGAAUUCUCUGAAGCAGGCUUCCAAAGAGAGGGGAGCAUGUCCCUGCUAAAGAUAAUGCUAGCGAAACACAUUGAUCAGUCCUCCUGUCUGUAGGUAUGCCUGCCUUGCCAAUAAUGUUUCCCAGCAUGGGUUUCAUAAAUGGAAGGACUGGUGUGCUUGCAGCAGAGAUGCUCACAAUGGCCUAAGCUUGCCUACAAGGUGAAUGUGGAUUAUUGAUCGAGUGAAAACAUUUGCAUGCUGCAAAAGUUGACUAACCUUCCAUUGGAGUUCGUGUGUUGCCUAUCUGCUGUGGACGACUGCGGCGUUAGUAGUAGGUUGUUUCCUUCUUAAAUAUGAAUGGCUACGCUACCCUGGGAACUGGUGUGUUUUCAUGGUGUAGUUUUCACAUUCAUGGGAGAGUUCUGAUGCUUGUAUUAAAAGAUGUAUAAGGAAAGAGCCACUCAACCAACCAAUGGAGAAACGGAUAGCAGCCACAAAAACUUAUACAUGGGUCAAAGGAAAGAGAAUCCAGUUACUUCAAUAAAGUAGUGUUUAUGAAGCAACAGAUCCUUUACUCCUUAUUAAAUUCCAGUUGCACCUGGAAUUAGAUCUUUUCUGAUCUGUGUCAAUUGAGUGCCUCCGCCUUGCUGUGCUAUAUAAUUAAACAUUAUGCACCAACUAUAUAGGACAUUAAUUUUUAUCGUCAACAGAAAAGGAUACUCAUCCUACUGAAUUCUGUCUCUCACACACACACACUAGAGGCUGUUGGUUGACAACACUACAUUUAAUUCUCGUGCCUCUAUUUGUAUUGGUUACUUUCUAACAUUGCUGCUGCUGCUAUUAUUAUUAUUACUACUAAUAUUAGGAUCUCUUUCCUCCCCACGCUCAAAAAACCUGGAAGGCCAAUUUUGCAUUCUUGCUUUUAAGCUUCCUAAGGUGCCCUGUGUUCUAGUAAGUGCUAGUAAAUUUUUGACUGUUCAGGCCUACAAAACCAUUCCAGCUGUGCAUAUUCCUCAAAUAUUAGCUUGCACGCAUUAAUUACCGUAUUUUUUGCUCUAUAAGACUCACUUUUUCCCUCCUAAAAAGUAAGGGGAAAUGUGUGUGCGUCUUAUGGAGUGAAUGGUGGCUGCACAGCUAUCCCAGAAGCUAGAACAGCAAGAGGGAUAGUUGCUUUCGCUGCGCAGCGAUCCCUCUUGCUGUUCUGGCUUCUGGGAUUCAGAAUAUUUUUUUCUUGUUUUCCUUCUCCAAAAACUAGGUGCGUCUUAUAGUCUGGUGCGUCUUAUGGUAAAUAUGCGCAAGAGCUACUACUGAAAUGUUUGGCGGCUGUGCCAAAAAACGCCUUCAGCAUUUCAAAAGCAUGCCAUCAGCAGAAAUCAGUGAUCAGUAGUUACUUCUAGAUGUACUGUGCACUCUGCCUAAUGUUUUACUAGCAGCCGGUAGCAGGAAGUCAAAUAAUGUGUGCCUGCAGGUUAAAAGAUGACACUGAUGAUGCUUGGCGAGAUUCAUAGCUAAUUAAAACAUACGUAAUUGAGCCUUCCACUGAGAUGGGUUUUCUGUUGUGUUUGUGAGCUUCUUGACAUAGUUAACAGUACAGCUUUUCCUCUGGUGUUGCCUUUCAAAUAACAUGAUGACAGCAUUCCUCUUGGUGCCCAGUAUCAAAGCUGAACUUACCUUAUUUAUUGCCUGAAGAACUCUGUUUCUGGGACUAGGGGUGGGGAGAAGGGAACUACUAAUCAAUUAUGGGUUUACAGUGCUUUCACCAGUGCUAAACUGUUCCAGGUCUUCAUUAAGAAUACCACUGAUUGUGAGCAAUCAAACCAUUGUAACUAAAUCACUUGUGUUUUAUUUAUUUCAAAAUAUUAAACGGACCAUUUUCCAAAUUGAUACAUCAUGCACAUGUAUGGGCAUACACACACAGUCUCUCUUCCGUGUAUUGAAACGCUGCAUACUUAGUUGUUCUAUAGCACUCUUGGUGUGAAAUCCCUGCAAUGCUCACUUCAGUCGUGCUCAAAGCUAUCUUGUGAAGUGAGUCAGUAGGGCUGCAAUAUUACAGAUACUUUCCUAGAGUAAACCCCUGUGAAAACAGCGGGGUUUACUUAGGAGUACAUUUGUAGGAAUGUGCUGCAAUACUGCCUUUGCAUAAGACGAGGCUAACUUCUGCUUAAGCCAGGCUUUAAAUCCAGGUCUAAGGACCAAGGUAACAUUCUGCAAAAUCAUGUUUUUGAAUUCUUCUCCUCAUGCAAAAAGCAAAGCAAAGCUUGAGUGCAGAAAACCAGUAUAUUGGAGAGAGACAAAACUAUGUCUCCCUGGAGAGCUGGCUUUCUACAGGAAAGUAUUCCAUAUUUUCCCUCUUUGCAGGGAGUGAAUGUUGGUUUUCCAAGCUGGGUGGUUGUGGUGGUAGUUUCAAAGGUGGCAGCUGGGAGGCAGGACAGUAUUUCUCCAGUUUCUGGCAAGGUUUCCAGACAGUCUAUAGUAGUACAACCUGCAAUGAAUUGUUGAUAUUUAAGGAGGCAUAUUCAAAACUUCUGUGAACCCUAUUGAUUUGUAGAAUGAUAUCUCAGUUGGUAGAGUAUGAGACUCUUGAUCUCAAUAUCGUGAAUUUGAGACCCACGUUGGGCCAAAAAAAUCCUGCAUUGCAGGGGGUUAUAGAUGACCCUUGUGGUCCCUUUCCAACUCAGCCAUUCUGUGAUUCUGUGAUUCUCAAGUCAAGGCUUGAAAGCUGAAGAACAUGCUCCAGUCUUAGAGCUGGCUUAACAACAGAUAUGAAUCUAUUUAUACCUAAAGAAUUUAUAUACAGUGGAACCUUGGUUCUCAAACGGCUUAGUUGAUGAAGAAAUUGGCUCCCAAACACCAAAACCCCGGAAGUAUGUGUUCCGGUUUUUUAACGUUUUUUGGAAGCUGAAUGUCCGACGCAGCUUCUGCUUUAGUGCAGGAAGCUCUUGCAGCCAAUCGGAAGCCGCGCCUUGGUUUUCGAACGAUUUUGGGAGUCAAAUGGACUUCAGGAACGGAUUAGGUUUGAGAAUCAAGAUUCCACUGUACUUAUUUUCUGUCAGACCUCAAAAAGUGGCUUAUCAAUGAUUAAAGAGGUCUUCAAACUAUUAAACAGAAGAAAACAACACCUUUCAUUACAAGGCAUUUCAUCAAAACUCUGUGGUUUUCAAAAACUUCCCCAGACAUUAAAAAAAUCUUCCAAAUUGUACGUACUUACAGGUUAGCAUAAGCAUUAGAAGCGUCACUCUUGCCUUGCAGAUCAUACAGAAUAAAGUCUGACAGCAGGAAGAGAAAAUGAGAGGGAGGGACUAGAAGGGGACCAGGCCUUGUACCCCAACAGAGAUGAUGGGCAGGGGAGAGGAGGAACUCUCUCUUAUGGGAAACAUCAAGUGAGCUGUUUAAUGGGUAGGAAGAGAAAGGUGCUGAAGCAGAAACGUACAAACCCAAGUUUUGAGUGGAGAGAAGGUGGAGAGCUGUUUCAGAGGCAGCAGAAUGGCCAGGGAGGAAGCAGCAAAGAGUAAUUCAGGGAGGUGGUUUCUUUGACAGUGCAGUAGACAGUAGCCAGCUUGCUAGGGAUUAAACAGAGUUGUCAGAAAGAAAGUAGAGACAGUUAAAACAGAAAAGGGCUCACCCAAUGAGGCAGUCAUAGCAAUAGCCUCCUGGCAGCAGCGUCAGCUGGGAGGGUGAGUUGGAUGGGGGGGCUGCAGGGGCUGCAUGGCACACCAGCGGAGUCAAUCUGGCGUUCCCCCUUGUGUGCUACUGGAAGGUCCUCUGGUAGCAAGGCACCAGGGCUCCACUACCAGAGUCGCUAGUUUGACCCUCCCAGAGUCUUACAGGGGGUGUCUAAAUAGUUGUCCAUUGGUUAGAGCAGGCACCCCCAACCUUUGGCCCUCCAGAUGUUUUGGGACUACAAUUCCCAUCAUCCCUGGCCACUGGUCCGGGUAGCUAGGGAUCAUGGGAACUGUAGGCCAAAACAUCUGGAGGGCCACAGAUUGGGGAUGCCUGGGUCAGAGGCUUCCAAGACUUCAUACCAACACUGUUCUCUGAUCUAUCCAUGCUUGUUCUUCCUAUUCCUUCCUGUUACUGUGCAGUUACUGUAUUGUGUUGAGAUGAAACCCAACCAGAACUAGGCUAGGGCUGGUGUUCAGGUUGUACUGAAAUAUGUUCACUAUGAGUAUGGAGUCCAGCAUGGAACUGAGCUGAAGCUUGUGUCAAAUAGUGAGCUAAACAAAAUUAAAAAAUUUCUAAUCCAUAAUACUUGAGGCAGGGUAUUUCCUAUUUUGAAUAGAGCAUGCCUUCCUUGACCCGUAAGCUCUGGUUACUCUAGAUCACCAAGACAAUUUGCAGUGGACACGGUCAUGUGUCUUCUUUCGGAAGCCUAUUAAGACAUGGGAAAGUUAGAUCUCCAGUAGGAAAUCAUUACCUCUGUGUUUCAAGUUAAUUCCUGUGAGAAGGACAUCUUUUGUUUCUAUAUUCUUUAUUUCCAUGCACUGUCUUUCCGUUACCUUUUCAAAAUUGCUUUUUUUGCUCAGUCUAAUGAAGUUGGUUCGUCAGCUUCUCCCAAAUGCAGAGAAACGAUGUUAACAAAAGAGGGUUCUUGCAGAAUCCGUUUCUGAAUUAUUUUAAAUUGAGCUCAUGCUGCAGACUAGCAGAGAGAGCCUUUGGUUAGACUUCAUAAUGGCUUUGUCAAGUCUCAUGCAAUGUUGGGGGAUUCUGCAAAGGGACUAAUAAAUACACUAUUUUUAAAAAUUACUUGGUCGCUGAAAAGAAUUGCGGAAGCACACUGAGCCUGAACAGCUGUUUGAAUUUUUUUCAGCCAAAUGAUCAAUAAGUGGAUGAAGCUUGAAAAGCCACUCACACCGAUGAUGAUUCCUGGGGCAAGUGCAGAAAAUGCUAUUGUAAUGGGGUGGGAAAUCUCAUUAAAAUAGGUACUAUUUUGAGUAGAGGCGAUCACAGAGUGGAGUGAGGUGUGUCAGUGAGUGUUUGUAUGCAUGUGCAGAGAAGAUUGAUUAUAUAAACAUUUGCACAGUUAGAAAUAAUGAACAAGAAAGAGACCACAUGGAGAAUGCCCUAGAACACACAUUUAAUGUAACUACAGCUUUGUCUAUUAACACGUGAGUUUUUAUAUUCAUGCCCUGGAGCUAAGGGUGUAUGGAUUGGCUUAUACCCGGUCUUGCAGUUUUUUCAUUCUUAACUCUUGUUUUCGCGUCAGUCUGUAGAUUAACUUUUAAAUGACCCAGGAAUUUUACCCCAAUGUACGUGUUACCCUAAAAUGUGCAUUUUGUCUGAUGCAUCUUAUCCUAGAAUAUAGACUUUUGUAUCCAUUUUAUCGUAAAAUAGGCAUUUGAGUGUGCAUAUUAACUACUGGCAACCCAGCCAUAUGGGUGGGGUAUAAAUAAUAAAAAUUAUUAUUAAAAUUUAUUAACAAAUGUACAUUUUAUCUGCUGUUUUUUUGCACGUUUUUAACUAAAAACUCUAUUGCAAAAUUUGGUGGUGUGAAAACUAAAGGAUAGCUGGACUCCGAUUAGUCCAGGAAGUGCCAAUGAGGUCUUUAAAAAUGUCGACCAAAUAAUUCAUUGAGCAUUCUGCACCUGAAGCAAGUCUGAUAUUUUCAGUAUAAUUCAGUAGGGGCUGGCAGAUGUCCAUUGUUUUAAAGGGCACAUCUUACCACAAUAGAAAACCACGUCUGUCUCCCCUGAAUUCAGCUGCAUUGAACUAAUAGAACAAAUGCCAGCUCUUCAACCUCUACUUGAGUGUCUGCAUAUACUUGCUUCUUAGAAACUUGGAGGUGUUGUGGUAUCUCCUGCUGCAGCCCAACCCAUUUUCGCCCUUUUCCCAGUCAGUCAGAUACCCUACAAAAAAAGCAGGAAUAAAUCUCUGCUGCAAUACACAUUUUGCAAAAUAUCUACUACAUUUUGAUGUGUCUGCCAUGGAUAAUGUCCAAGGUGAAUAACACAGUCCCCUCCAAAACACGAGACUUACAUUAGAAAUGUCAUUUGACAUUUUUAAUGUGUGGAUAUACAAGAAAAAAUUGCCUAGUUUUCAUUCAGAGUGAAAUUAACUAGACCAGAAGCUGCUCUUGAUCUUCGCUAGUCCAUUUCACUUCACAUUUUGGUUUUAUCAGGCUACGGAGAAUAACUGCACCUUCAUAGACGCUUGCCCUUGCAAAGGUUUUCAUCCCCCCUCCCCAAUUUUCUUCUUACCAUUGUCAAAGUGCUGAUCAAGGCUAGAGCAAUAGGAGCAGGAACAAGUAAGUUGCACUCUCAGGAAUUUUGCCACAGGGAAAAAAUGUAUCUCUGUACAGGCAUCCAAGUAUUACCUUCUGAAAACCUUGCAGGUUCUGAUUUCAUAUCUCUGCUUAGCCAGCUGUGUGAUACACUAGUGAUGGCUGGUGGGUUGGGGUAUAUUGCAGUACCAGCCACUGCCACUGAGUAGCAACCAAGAGGAAGGGGUUCCACAACCUCAGUCCCAAGUGUUGCAUGGCAUGGCAGUGGACUAACCUGGGAAGGAAUUGGCUUGUAGAAGGAUUACCUGUCGCCACUGGUGCGUGUAUCUGGUGCGUGUAUCUGACGUGUAUCGGGGACAUCCUGGGAAGAGGGCCUUCUUAUUUGUGGCAUUGUGUCUUUGGAAAACACUCCCCAGAGAAGCUCACCUGGUGCCUUCACCUUUUCAACAAGCUCUUUCUGUUUUCCUUUUGAACUCCCACAACUUGAUUGUUUAGGCCAGGGGUCAGCAAACUUUUUCAGCAGGGGGCCGGUCCACUGUCCCUCAGACCGUGUGGGGGGCCGGACUAUAUUUUGAAGGGGGGGAAAUGAACAAUUUCCUAUGCCCCACAAAUAACCCAGAGAUGCAUUUUCAAUAAAAGGACACAUUCUGCUCAUGUAAAAACACGCUGAUUCCCGGACCAUCCGCGGGCCAGAUUUAGAAGGCGAUUGGGCCUUAGUUUGCCUACCCAUGAUUUAGGCCUCAAUUGUACCUUCUGUUUUUACAAUGCUUUUGUUGUUGUUGUUGCUUUAUGAUUUUAUUAGAAUGGGUUUUUUUAAUUCAUUAUUGUUAGCUGCUCUUGCUACCUGUUAUUGAAGGGUGGAAUCGUGAUUUGUGAAAUAAAUUAAACCAUCUGCAAUCCUGUGCACAGUGGGACUUAACUUCUGUGCAAAGUUGCAUAGGGUCACCUGAGCAUUUGUGGCAUGCCUGCCUGUUACUGCUAAACUAUACAUGGUGAUUUUAUAUAUAGCGACUAAUGCCACAGGUAGUUUGCUGCUGAAUAACAACACACACCCGAGAUUUGUGGACAGAGUUUUCAUGCCAGAGAGCCUUUGACUAAUUACAUUCCAGUCCAAACAACAUGCUUCAGUUCCUUCUUGAACAUUCCCUAAUACAUAUGAGCAUAUUCCUAAUAUAAUUUCUGAUAAAAGUAGUGCAGUUCGUCUUCCAAAGUGAAGAACUAGAAUGCAGGAGCUGUCCACCAGCUUGGAACAGAUGGACAACAAUUAGUGUUUAAUGCUUUUGAAAAUGUUGCUGUGUAGUUCUGAAGAGAUUUCAGGUCUUUUGUGCUUGCAUGGAACAACUUAGGAUCUGUUUCACACCUGAGGUUUAAAUCAGCAAUGUUUUAAAUGGGCUGUUCGUUGGAAUUUAUAUUCAGUUUUUCUUCUAAAUUUCCUCCUGUAUAUACAGCAUUCAUUUGUGACGCUAAAUUAAUGAAAGUGGCUUAAAUGUGCUUCGUAGAUUGCAGUCCUAUGUAUAUUUAUCUGAGAAUACCACUGAAGUCAGGAGGAUUUACUUCUGAGUAGACAUUAUUAUUUUUAUUAUUAUUUAUUGAAUUUAUAUACCACCCUAUACCUGGGGGGGUGGUCUCAGAGUGGUUCACAGAAUAAAAUCAAUAUAUAAAACUACAAAAUACAUAAUAAAAAUAAAAACAACAAGCCAAUAGCCCAGUGCAUAAGAUUGUGCUGUUAGUGUAUCACAUAUGAGAAUGUACUUAGGCUGCAGUUCUCAGCAUAUUUACAUGGGAGCAAGUCUCUUUGUAUUCAGUGGGACCUAAUUCUGAGUAAUGUUUGGGAUGGUGUUGCUAGGUUCCAGAUUGCUUCUGUGUUACUAGGAUAUUUAUCAUCCCAUGGAAAUGCAAUAGCCAGUAAUCAGUGUAAGGGUAAAGGGACCCCUGACUGUUAGGUCCAGUCGCGGAUGACUCUGGGGUUGUGGCGUUCAUCUCGUUUUACUGGCCGAGGGAGGUGGUGUUUGUCCGCAGAUAGCUUCUGGGUCAUGUGGCCAGCAUGUCUAAUCCGCUUCUGGUGAAACCAGAGCAGUGCACGGAAACGCCAUUUACCUUCCCGCCAGAGUGGUACCUAUUUAUCUACUUGCACUUUGACGUGCUUUCGAACUGCUAGGUUGGCAGGAGCAGGGACCGAGCAACGGGAGCUCACCCCGCCGUGUGGAUUCAAACCGCCAGCCUUUUGAUCGGCAAGCCCUGUGGUUUAGACCACAGCGCCACCCGCGUCCCUUCAGUAACCGGUGUGGGUACUCGCAAAAGAAAAUAAAUUAUUAUAUAGCUCAGAUCUCCCUAUACUCUGGCUGCAGGAGCACUGCUUCCAUGAUAUUUUUGUGUGCAUCUUUAAUACCUGUCUGGCAUGCAGCAUCCUUUGCUUUGAAUUUUUUAUAAUUGUGGGAUUCUCAAACUUCUGCAGAGUGUGUCUGGCCAGAUAAUAAAUAAACUGUCCCCCCCGCCCCCCCAACAACUUGAAACCAAGACAAAGGCAUGAUGCCAAGUGGGUCCCUGGCUGGGAGAGAGAAGUAUGUUUAUUACUGUGCUUUAACUUCUCCCAAAGAGUGAGUUGCUCAAUAGGGUGUCAUCAUUCAAUACAAAGGAAGUGAAGAUACAUAGUUGAUAAGGAUAUUGAGGGAAAUCCGGUCCAUUGUCUGCCGCUACUCACUCAAGAGAUACACAAAAGCUUCUUAAUAUGUGUGUGCGUGCAAGGGGGAAGCUCAUGCUUCUCUGCAUGUAAUCCUUGCAAUUGUUUUCUCAUGCAGAAAACCUCCAAACCUGCCUGUGAAAAUAUAGCAAAGCCAUUUUCCUGCUGAGUAUUUGUCUGUUCGGGGGUCUUCUUCUUCUUCUUCUUUGGCGAUCACUCACAGGCGAGUAAGAUUGUCUUCCAUAAACACAGUUUUAACAAUGAGUCCGUAAGUGACUGUGGAGGCCAAUUCUGGAUCCACACAUCCUUCCACAGUGGGGACAUUGGUUUCCGGGUGGGAGUUCAUCAUGGUAAGGGUUUGCCAAGUGUGACUUCUUCUUAGCACGUUUCUCCCUUGCAUCCUGAGUUCAAGCCUCUUCAAAACCCAUGACACCUUUGGUAAAGGCUGUUCUCCAAUUGGAGCGCUCGCAGGCAAGUGUUUCCCAAUUGUUGGUGUUUAUACUACAUUUUUUUAGAUUUGCCUUGAGACAGUCUUGAAAUCUCUUUUGUUGACCACUAGCAUUACGCUUUCCAUUUUUAAGUUAGGAAUAGAGUAGCUGCUUUGGAAGAUGAUAAUCAGGCAUCCACGCAACGUGACCAGUCCAACAAAGUUGAUGUUGAAGAAUCAUCGCUUCGACACUGGUGAUCUUUGCUUCUUUCAGUACACUGGUACUAGUUCGCCUGUCUUCCCAAGUGAUGUGUAAAAUUUUUCGGAGACACCAUUGAUGGAAUCUUUCGAGGAAUUGGAGAUGGCGUUUAUAAGUGGUCCAUGUUUCACAAGCAUACAGUAAGGUUGGUAGUACAGUAGCUUUGUAAACAAACAUUUUGGUUUCCUGGAUCAUUAGUAUGGGGAAGGGUCAUAGUGUGUUUCCCAGAUACUCCCAGGUUCAGUCCCUACCUUAGCAUCCCCAGUUGGACAAAUCCUGUAGGAAGGGAAGGAGAAGACCUGUGCCUGAAGCCCUGGAAAGCUGCUGCCAGUCAGAAUGCGCAGUACUAGGUUACAUGGGCAAAUAGUCUGACCUGGAAUAAGGCAGCUUCCCAUGUUUCUAAUUUUCAGUGGCCAAAUGAGUCUAUAACUUAUAUCAAGGCACAGGAGUAUAAGGUCCAGAGGGAGUGAUGACUGGAGUUAUUAGUGAGCAUUUGGAGCGCUGCCUUGCUUAGGAGCGAAACUUUGUGCCCCACUGUAGCUCAUUACUUUCAUGUCUACCUCUGCAAUCUUUCUUUAUCUAGUGCAAAAAAAAGGGGGGGUAUGAUUUUCAUCCACAUAGAGGUUGAUCCUCUAUUCAGCGCUGCCAGUAGCAAGACUCUUUGUGUGGCCCAAGAUCAGAGUGAGUGGAAAUAAAACCCAUUAACGCCUGCAGGAUGCACAGCUGAGCAAGGGCAAGGAAGCUGCAGUCCGGGGUUGUCGCUAACUCUCACCGACUGCAGCGUGUUGCCUUCCAUGGGAAUUCAAGAACAUAAGUCUGCUUAGGGAACGGGAGUUGAGAAAUCAUGGCUAAAUGCUGUUACUAAUGUGUAAGGAAUAUACAACGGUAGAUCUAACCGCACGAAAUAGAAUAUGUGGCCAUAUUUCCUUCCUUCAGCUAGAGAAUCCCAGGGACAAACGGAAGUAUUUAACGUGGUGAAGAAGAAGAGUUUGGAUUUGAUAUCCCGCUUUAUCACUACCUGAAGGAGUCUCAAAGUGGCUAACAUUCUCCUUUCCCUUCCUCCCCCACAACAAACACUCUGUGAGGUGAGUGGGGCUGAGAGACUUCAGAGAAGUGUGACUGGCCCAAGGUCACCCAGCAGCUGCAUGUGGAGGAGCGGAAACGCGAACCCGGUUCCCCAGAUUACGAGUCCACUGCUCUUAACCACUACACCACACUGGCUCUAUGCUAUUCAUUAGUAGUAUGGGGCCUAUAUAUGUAGGAUAGGUUCCCUUCCUCUAACAGAAGCAUCUUCUUCUGAUGAAAGAAUUUCUUUCUACGAUGGAAGGAGAAAGGAGGAAGACUUUUCCCAUCUGGUCAGGGAUGGGGAAUCUGUGGUCCUCAGGAUAUUGUUAGGCUCCAGCUCGCAUCAGACCCAGCCAGCAAAACCAGUGCUCAGGGAUUAUGGGAGUUCAGUAUGAAUGAAUGAAUGAAUGAAUGCGUGAAUGAUGGGAGUUGUGUUCGAUUUACAGCAGGAGAGCACCAGGUUCUUCUUCAUCCCUACUUUACAAUCAGCCCAUAGCCUGGGUCUUCUGGCAGUUUUACACCUUUGUCCCUUGUGAUGUGAGACACACACACACAAUCUCUAUAUUUAUCUUUUAUUCAUGCUGCUUUGUGUACAAAUGGUGAUGAAUGGUAAACAGAGCAAAACAGAAAUAUUAAGUCAAUUGUUGUUGUGUGUAUAUCUGUCUGAAGCCAUUAAGCAAACUUGUUAGUUUAACAGCAAACAUCUUUCCUUGAUUUUAUUGUUUUACCUUUUUGAUAAACUGCUUUGAGGUAGAAUCAAAUGGUUUAUAAAUUUUAUGAAAUAAAUAAAAUAGAUAAAUUGGAAAUAUUUUAUGAUAAAUAAUUUUAGAUAGAUAGAUACCUCUGGGUUCAGGAAGGGCUGAUGAAGGGGUCAGUGGUCACCUCUGCUUUCAUGGAAGAAGGCAGCACAUCAUGAUUGUGUGUGUGUGUGUGCGCGUGCGCGCACACACACACACACACACACAAUCCUUUUUCUUUUCAUAUAUGCACACACGUAUGCACAAUAAAAAAUACAAACUACAGUAAAAAGGAGAUGCAACUUUUGGAGCUUUUGUUUGUUCAUGAACUGAAAUUUGUAGACCAUCCAGCUUGAAGCUCUCUAGAUGUUUUGGACUACAACUCCCAUCGUCUCUGACUAUUGACCAUGCUGACUGGGGCUGAUGGGAUGUGUAGUCCAAAACAUCUGAUUGGCACUGUGGCGUUCGUACAGAGCCCCUGGUCGUUUCACGGACUAUUGACCUGUACACCACUGCUUUAUUCUUCCGCUGCCACCAACCAAGUUUCUUCAGGUGAAAUACUGAGUCUCAGUCAGGUUGUAAAGUCAACAACAAAGAUUAAAGUUUACUGAAGAACAAACAAGUUUUAAAUAUGUUCAGAACGGUUUCUCAAAUGUGCGCCCUUAACUAGAUGUGGCACUAUCUCACACUGUCACACUCUUCUCUCUCAGUUCUAUCCCUGUCUCUCACUCUUAACUGUCACAACCACUAUGUUCGACUUUUACUGCCUCUGUCUCACUCCUCUAUCUCUCCAUGGUUAAACCCCUGGGCUGAGCCUCAAAACCAGGUAGGCUCCGCCUCUGAGCUUUCUCAUUGGUCAAUCUACAUUAACCAUUUCCAUCCCCCUGUACAAACAUAAUCACAAGGAAUGGGCAAACGCCACAGGCACUACUUUGUGGGAAGACUUCCAAAUUGUGGCCCUGGCUGUGCUAUCACGUUGCCUCCUCUAGAGAAGCCCACAGUGAAAAACGGCCUGCUGCAGGCUUUGUUUAAAGCCUAAGCUACUUCUCUUGAGAUGGGCUUCUAGAGAUUUGUAGGUUUUUCUUUAGACAGGCUUUGGAACUUUAUAACUUCUGCUGGUAAUCUUAAUUUAGGCUUGCAGAUUUGGAGUGGGUUGUUUGAUGCAAGCCGCCUUGAGCUAUUUAAAUGGAAGAGACAGGUUAUAAAUUUAAUGAACUAAACAACCACGACAACAAAACCCCUAUUGGCAAUACUUGCUCAAGGGUCGUCGUUACCACCCACAUUUCUGUAACUGGAGUAGUCAAGCUCUGUGAUAAGGACUAAACAAGGUCCACCCUACCAGGUGUGUGUUGAGAUGGUCUUUUUCCAUCAAAGUGCUUUUGCGCCGACCAGUGCUGGGCUAGUUUUCUUUGCACACCUCUUUGUAACAUAAGAAGUUGCCUCCAGACAAGCUGCUUAUUUGAGCAUUCAUCCUCAUUUGCCUGCACAAAGCUUGUGCAAAGUUAAGACUGUGCCCGCUCUGUAUUGAGCAUUCGUCCUGAUUUGUUUUGCAGGAACGUUAUAUGACAAUGGACAUUCAUCCUGGUUAGCUUUCCCAGUGUAUAUACAUUUUCCUAUUUAUCAUUUGUCCACCCUGCACUUCUUAGUGUAUAACCACAGGAAAUCCUUAAAAAAAAUAAAAUGUUGCGCUAGGGUGAUAGAGUGCCUUCAUCCACUUUAAUUGCAUGAGCUUGAAUUUCCACUGUGCGUUGUGAUCCCUCCCCCAAAAUAUUGACAAUUAGCCUAUUUGUCCUCUUAGCUUAGCUUGUCUGUUCUGACUGGUUGCAUUCUUCCGGCGUCUCAGGCAGACCUGUUUUCUGCUACCUUUCCUUUUCAUUGACAGUGCUGUGGAGUGAACCCGGGACCUUCUGCAUGCCAGCCAUGUGCUCUGAUAAGCAGCCACAGCCCCACUGUUAAGUUGUGGGUGAACAUAUCAGACGACACAGCGAUUCUUCAAACAGCUCUUGUUUAUUCACAGGCCAGAACUAAACUGAACUCAAGGGUUCAGCCAGCCUGCUUGUAUAGAGCUCCACUAGAACGCAACAGUAACCAUUUUCUGUAACUAACCAAUCACUGAACGUCACUUUCGAUCCCUUAUUUGCAUAUGUGGAGCUGAACUGUCUACAGUAUCCCCCUGCUGGCCCAGGGUGAGAACUUCAAUACAUAACACCCACCUUUUCGCUGAAGCUGGGAGUGAUGGCAAAUCUAGAUGCUCAAUGCAGAAUGGGGUUGGUGGGAGCAGUGUUAGGCAACAAUUCCCCAAGAGUUAUUUUUUGCACUCUUAGCUGCUUGUCUUCCAUUUUUACCAUUUUGAUCUUAUUUAAAGUGUACAAUAAUGAGGUGUAUUUCGGCAUUCUCUUUCUCUGUAUUGCAUCAAAGCGUUUUAAAAAUUAUUUUUUAAAUCACAUCUUUGGACGUACUUGUGGGAUGGAAGCGGAGUUGCAGCAAAAUGUCUCCAGCUAGUUACAGGAGUCGUCAUUAGCACACACAGCAUAUUGGUCUAACAAAAGGAAUAAGGUGUUUGAAGUGCCUUGGAGAAUAAGGAGCCAUGUUCUGAAGUUGAAACUGUCACUAGAAAUAGCGCAUUUUUGAGUGAUAUGUCUUAAAAAGCUUUUCCAUUAGAAUAAGCUCUUUCAUGUUCCGAGCACUUUCUCCUUUUGCAUAGGAGGGUCACAUAAAAUGUCAGAUGUCGAUAUUGAUGUACUGCACCGAGUUUAACAUGUUUAAAAUUAAUGUGCAUUCAACGCUGUGCCCUAAUGUCAUGUGCGGGAAUGUCUGUGGUAUAUCAAACAGGCUGCGGGAAAUGAAAACCCCUCUUUUAUCGACAUUUGGUAAGGAAUCUGAAUAGGAGGCCGGAUUCCUGUGACCACAACAAUGUUACAGUUCAAAUACAUACAUACAUACAUACAUACAUACAUUUCAGUCAAAUGUUUUCAUUCAUUCUGGGCCUAAGGAAUCUCUUCCUCCAGCACCUCUUUUGGAUGAGUUGUCUACCUAUUUUUUAGAAAUUGUUGCAACAUAUCCAUUUCUGCAUUUCAGGGUAUGUUUACCUGGGAAUAAGCAGAACACAGGGGGACUUACCUCUGAGCAAACCCAUACACAGGAUCGUGCUGUUAAUGCACACCCAUGCUGUCUAUAAUUUCAGUAUGGCUACAUAGGUGGCAACCCAGGCUUUGUAAAAAGCAAAAACUCCCAAGCACAGGUGAAGCGCCGCUCUAAUUUGUAUACAGGGAUUUCUCCUAAAUUUGAAUUUAUGGGGUGCAUUCAGAGCUCAUCUUAUAUUCAAUAAUCAGUCUGCCAUAAUAUAUAGCGGGACUAUCUAACUUAGUAUUUCAGCCUGAAAACCUUGGCAACAGCAUCGUUAUUUUUAUGCAAAUUGAGAAAUUCGGGAGAUUAUAAAGUGAGUAAUUUCUAUUCCGUAGGCACUGACAGCGCAAUGUUUUUCUUUGACACUCCAUCUGAACAUGCAGCGCUGAAUUAGUCAAAAGGCAGCGAUGGCUUUUCUGGAUGAAACUAGACUUUCACAGGGCCGCCUGAAGACAUUUUGUUGCCUGAACACAGGGCAAAAUGGUUCUUCCUUCCCUUUCUGUGUACAGAAGCAGACCGGACUGUCACUUUCCUCUUUACUUGUUCACCAGCGUCCUCCACUGCCCCUGAGGCUGCACAUGGCAACAGAGAGGGGUGCCUGGGGACUGCUGCUGCCCCUCAACAUCUGCUGUCCAGGGUAGUUGUGUUUGUCUGCCUAAUGGUGGAGUUGGCUAGACAAUUCUGGCCAAAUUGGUUCUGUCCACUACAUAUUGUUCACUUUGGCUGUUGAAAAACCAGUGAGAACCAUUGAAAACCAAGCCUUCCCAUAUCUGCAUAUUUCCACCCCCUUCAUCUGCAUAAAUUGUGGGGUGUUUUUGUGCCAUGCUGGAGUAUGACAAAACAUGGCACCUAUAAAAUCUACAUAGACAAUGUUGUAGGGUUUGUGUGACCUUGCAGCCUUCACUCCAGUUGGUUGUUCAAGAUUGCAGAAGUCAGAAAGCACCUAUUACUCUUUUCCUUCAUUCUUCCAUGUUUGCUGAGAAAGCAGUUCAGGAGACCCUCCAUAUGCCUCUUACAGGAAGCCCUCUAAGUUGGUUCCCAUUUCCUUUUCCAAUCCCUACACUCUACUGAGUGGGCUCUUGCUCACGACUCUGCCUUUCUUUUCGAGUGAGUUUCAGUCUUUGCUCCUGGCUGAGGAAAUGUUUCGGACGCUGCUGCCUGUAGCCCCAGACUCCUUUCCCCCCUCUCCUGCCAAACUACCAGAAAAGCAUGAUGGCCACCAAGGCUGGUCCAAGACAUUUUGUUGUCUGAGACAGAGCUGCAAAUGGCGCUCCCGUGCUCUGCAAGUCAAGGCGCAUGAGACCCAAGGCUGAUCAAACGGUAUUGCCGCCUGAGGCAUAAAAUUCUGCAAGCAUGUUACCCUCACCCUCCCUGGCAGGGAAAGUAAACAGUUGAUUGCCUUUCCAUGACUCCUCACAUCAGCCACUCAAGGCAGUUGCCUCACUUUGCUUAAUGGUAGAGCCUGUCUGCCACCCAUGGUUUCCACAGCUAGUCAGCUGUUCCCUCUAGCGGCUCACCUGUUGGCUCCCCAUCUCCUUUGUCCCCUUCCCCACAUCCCUGUAUCCCAUGGCAUUGGUACAGUGGGCUUAUCAUUUAGUUGCAUUGCCCUCCUACCAACCCUGGCCACUUUACAGGAAUGCUAUCAGGAAGCCAGUGUUUACUCAGACAGGAAAUAUUUCCUGUGGUUCUGUUUCCUGUUCUUUAUUUUAUGAGCAUUUUCAUUUCUUUUAUAUAUCUAUGAUACAGCACAGUGCGAUGUCCCAAAAUGAACAAAAAGUGACAGGUGCAUAAAAUGUGCAGCUGAGCAACUAAAAAUGAACAAAGUGCUGCCAGUGUGUGUGUGUGUGUUAUAAAGAGCUUGACACAUGGUACAUUUUUCUCUAUAGCCUGUGUCCCUUUAAUACAAUGUCUUUACCAAGGAGAAUUGUUUUAUAUAUUUAAUUGCUUAAUCAAAGUUCAAGUUUAUUGCGGCCAAAGCCAGUGACACUAAACAUCCCAAGAUCAGACAACAAGAAAUCAGCAACAACUUCAGAAAAGAAAAAAGGUUACACAAGGGAACUUCGCAGUGUGCCAUUCGACAGAAGAGAUUUACGUUUCUUAAUUACUAAAGUGCAAAAUUUAGCCACCUCAUAUGAUACUGAGCUUGAGGAAUCUUCCAGGAGGUAUUUUCGAAGAAUUUCAGGGGAGGAUUCCAAAUAAUAUUGAAGGGGUAUAAAUUUUGAUAAAAGCGGUAAAAUAAGUUGAGCCUGUUCUUCACUAUAGAAUUCGCAAGAUAGAAGAAUGUGUGUGACAGAUUCUACCUUAUUAGACAUACAAGGGCAGAGACGCGCAUGCAUUGGAACCCGCGUGAAUUUGCCGUACAGCACUGCUGAGGGCAUUGUCUCAAAGCGGGCUCUAGAGAAAGCCCAUCUAUAGGCUUCGCUAGUGAUGUUGGUUAAGUAAGGGGUAGCUGUAAAAUUAGGCCAAGCUUUUAAACAUCUAUACGUCUCUGGGAGUAGGGCGCCUUCUUGUUGUAAUUCGAUAUCAUAAAGUCUCCGAGUAAUAGUAGCUUUUGCCUUGUUCAGAGUUCCAAUAAAGAUAUUUUCAGGGUUUAGGCCAAUUUGUUUGAUCUUGUUAGUUAUUUGCAUAAGCCAAGGAGGAUAGGGAACUGCGGCCAGGAAGCAAGGUAAUAGACCCUUAGGAUUGUAAUGGAUUUUCAGCCAGAGGGAUAUUGCUUGUUCCCAGACUUUUAAUUCCACUCUGGGCAGUCCUGCCUCUUGCCUUAAGACUGCAUUAGGUGUACACUUAGGGGUAGCAAAUAAUGAUCUUAAGAAUUUAGAUUGUACUGUUUCAAGGGUCUUAAGGUUGGCAGAGGGGCUAAUUUGAGAGCCAUAUAGAAGUUGGGCUAAAGAUUUUGCCUGAAAGACUGUUAGGGCCAUCGGGAGGAAGCCAGCUCCUUUCCUUCUGAAUAAUCUAAGGAUAGCAUUUGCACUUCUUUCUGCUGAUAUAGCUGAUGUGGUCAAGUGUGCUGAGAAUUUGGCAUUAUAAGAGAAAGUAAUGCCUAAAUAUUGGAAGGUCUUAGUCUGUUCAAUGGCGUUUCCCUUUACGCUCCAAUUAUCCUUCCUGAAGGAGCGGUUAAAAUGUACAAUUUUGGUUUUGGCAAAGUUAAUUGUUAGCAGUUCAGUGUUACAUUGGUCACUAAACUUUCCUAAGGCGCGUUUCAGACCCACUUUGGUUUGAGAGAGAAGAACGGCGUCAUCCGCAUACAUUAAAAUUGGUACUUUUCUGCCAUUAGAGAACACAGGGGGGUGGGUUUCAAUUUCACGGCAGCAUGUGACCAGGGAGUUAACAUAGAUGUUAAAUAGGAAUGGGGCUAAUAGGCAUCCUUGUCUAACUCCUCUUUGGACUGGGAUUUCUCUAGAGAGUCUGCCGUCCUGUGCAAGUCUUAUCUGGAGGGUAUUGUUCUCAUGAAGCUUAAUCAUCAGAAGUAAUAACCUUCUGUUAAUACCCAUAUUGGCCAAUUUGGCCCAGAGCCUGCUCCUAGAUACAGAAUCAAAUGCUGCCUUUAGGUCCACAAAGGCCGCAUAUAAUGACUUUUUCCAAUAUUUCGCAUACUUAUAGACAAAGUAAUCUAACACUAAGCAGUGAUCAAUGGUGGAACGUCCGGAUGUAAACCCUGCUUGUUCAAUUUCUAGCAAGUUGUUAUGAUCUAACCAUUCCCAUAAUUUUAGGCAUAGAUGUUUUGUAUAAAGUUUACAGAUCACAUUCAGGAGACUAAUUGGUCUAUAAUUAGAUGGAUCAGAGGGGUUGCCCUUUUUAAAUAUGGGAACAAUUAUAGCUAGUCCCCAAUCUUUAGCUGUCCGCCAUCAUACCGGAAGUGUCUACUGUAUACUGUAUACUGUUUCAUAUUUCAACAGAAAUCCGUAAGCAACUUACAAAUGCAAUGUUUACAUUACACUUUUGCUUUGACAAGCGUUUCCAGCUGGAGGAAAACGUCUUAGGUGCUGUAGGUGCUCAUUCUGCAUUCCUUGUAAAAAUCUGUGUUUAAUUUUUAUUUUGCCUUCGUAUCAAAACUAUUUUUAGCUGUUUUUCUGAUAUAUUUGUAAAUUUCCUUGAGACACAUGUGGAAGCCGAAUCAUAAUUUAGAAGCUAAUAACAUUAUACCUACAAAAAAAGAGAAGCAGUAGAAGAAAUGCAAUGCAAAUUCCACGUUCAAAAUCAAAGAAUGCUGCUGCUAAUAGUAAUAAUAUUCUCACAUUUUAAGUAGCUGUUAUUAAAUGCCUCUGAACAAUGUUCCUCAGUAGAACAACUCUGAACCACAAAACAAACACCACCAAAAUACAUCUAAUGCAGCACAAAUGCAGUACAGUGGUACCUCAGGUUAAGUACUUAAUUCGUUCGUACUUAACCUGAAACUGUUCUUAACCUGAAGCACCACUUUAGCUAAUGGGGCCUCCUGCUGCCACCGUGCUGCUGGAGCACGAUUUCUGUUCUCAUCCUGAAGCAAAGUUCUUAACCUGAAGCACUAUUUCUGGGUUAGCAGAGUCUGUAAACUGAAGCGUAUGUAACCUGAGGUACCACUGUAUGUCAGGAACAUCUCACAAACAUUGCAAUCCCCUGCCAUAUAAUAAUACAGUCACCAAAAUACACAUACAUAUUCACACUACACUAAGCAGUAAGAGUGGAACUUAUAUGAUACAUUAUCUGACAUUGUCAUUAUCUGACAAUAUUUUAAGUUUAACACAAGCCAUAACAUGACAGCAUCGUUGUGCUACGCAGUGUAUGAUUGGCUAGUAGGAGUUUGCAACAAUAUACAGUGUAAUGACGUGAUGUCUGGGGUAAAGUAGACCAGGGACAGCCAACAUAGUGCCCUCCAGAUGUAGCUGGACUACACAUCUUAUCAUCCCUGAGCAUUGCACAUGCAGGCUGGGGCUGAUAGGUUUUGGAGUCCCAAGAACAUAACAAUGAUUGCUGUACAUUGGCAGUCAUGGAGCCAGACAUUGGAAGGGAGUUAAGAAGCUAAUGGGUUGUAGCUGUGCUGUGUCUCUCAUGACAUCUCAUUCCCCCCUAAGGCUUGGAGAAUGGUGCAUUCAGUGUGAACAAUUGUUUUGGAGGCAAUAGUAAAGCUGUGUGCAAAAGCAGUGUCAGUUUUGUCACCUGAAAAGGCCUCCACUCCCUACAAAACUAGCAAGCGUUCCUCUCUAAUACGACCUCCUCCCGUAAAUUGUGUCCUCCCUUAAAGAGGGCACAUGUUGUGGCGAGACCUGGAAACCGAACCCCUGUGUUGUGGGUGGGUAAGAUUGGUCAGCCACAACACCCGAUUGGUAGGUCCCUCGAUGCUGGGUUCAGUCUGGUUAAUGGGGUGCAGUCCAAACGGGUUGAGGGACCUAUAUAUACCCAUGCAUGUGACCCAGAGCUUCCUCUUUCGGCACGUGCAUUCGGAACAGCAACAGCAUGUCCACUGUGCAGCCGAGAGAGAGCGAUUUACCUUUGACGGAUCGUCCUGGUGAUAUCUUUCCGUUUUCCCUUCUUUCCCAAAUCCAAUUUAUUUCCUUUCCCCUCCUUUGUUAAUUUUGCUCCUUCCCCUUCCUUUCCCUUUCCUCCCCUUUAGAGGGGCUUUUGCCCCGCGGGGCCUUCAGCCCCUGAGUGCUUUUGCUUUGAGUCAAGCGUGAAUUUAUUUAGGGGGGAGGUUUCUGGGUCUGAACACGCAACAGCCUAACCAGCUCAGCCUUCAGUGGCUGAGAUACCAGGCCCAUUGAAUCACAGGCAGCGCUGCCUGUGAUUAGGGGCUGUCACAAUAAAUUUAGCCCUCAUCUGUUAGAGCAAAAACCAGGUUAAAGGUCAUUUAAUGCUUUUAUUUGCUCUAAUUGAAAAUUAUAGUCAAUAAGAAUAAUUUAGAAACCCUGUCUGACUCAGUGACUCGAUUUAAAAUGGUGGUUGCUUCCGCCAACCAAGGAACGGUAAUUGCAAUAAGCUUUAUGCCAUGUGAUCAUAAUAGGGAUCAAGACAUUAAUGAAGUGCACCAUUCUCCAUUUGCAGUUGCCAGUAAAACCGGGUGGGUGGGUGCGUUGAAAAGUCAGUUGCUGCAAGCACAACUGAUUACGGCUUUGACUAGCUCCUUCCUUUCAUUGUUUUAUCGCAGGAGAUGAGAGUCCCUGGCUAGUUUACUUUAGCAAAGCAUCGCUAAUAAUUGCAUCAGACAUCUCUGUUAAAAUAAUAGCCAAAGCAACUUGCAAUGAAGUAAACCCCCCAAAUAAAUUAUAUAGGGUUGCAGACCGAAUGAAGUUAAUGGACACAAUAGAGGAGUUAUCCACACUUCCUCUCGUCCCGUUACAUUCCCCUCUUUAUUACUCUAUAGGCGCAAACGGCAAUUUGUAUUUUCUUGAACUUGACAUUUGCUUCGAUUUAGCUCUAAAUAGUGGGUUUUCCCUGCGAAACUAACACGGCAAGUGGAAAGCUCACAGCUCCGUUUUUUUCUAGGCAGGGGACAAGUGGAAGCAUGGGUGAGCCCUAACUUAGGUUCAUUCAUUUCAGUGGGGCUUCUUUGAGUAGCACUUGCAUUGGAUACAACCCAAAGUUAAACACACACCCAUGAUUCAAAUUACAUAUUCAUUCAAACAACCUCAUAAACAACAAUAAUUAAAACCAGCAAUAAACUCUGUAAAACAGUAGACCAUUCUGUAAAAGCCACCUUGACUUGAGCUAGACGUAUCAAAAAUGCAUUUCAGGAAAAUGCGUUCUAAACUUCAUAAGGGGAAAUCAUGUUGGAGAAAGACAGGGCUCCACAGCGCCAUCCGUUAUAAUGCAUGUAAAGCAGUUUUUCUUUACCGAUGUAGCUGAGUCCCUUGUGUGGAGUGGGAUGCUCUUACCUUUUGAUGGGGACAAGAGGGAGCCUGGUGAAUCCCCUGGUGUUCCAAAGCUGAGAUAGCCUUAGCCCAGGCACCCCCAACCUGUGGCCCUCCAGAUGUUUUUGCCUACAACUCCCAUGAUCCCUAGUUAACAGGACCAGUGGUCAGGGAUGAUGGGAAUUGUAGUCCAAAACAUCUGGAGGGCCGAACUAGAAUACAAAAUUGGGAGGUGAGAGGAGGUCAUGGAAAUAAGUAAAGGGAAAAGGCUAUGUAAAGGUUUAAUCUGUUUUUGUUUUAUUUUAACUUAAUGUAUUUUUAUAUUUUUUGUUAAGUCUUCUUUUUUAUUCUAUUUUAUUGUUCAUUUUUACUUGUUCAUUUUUCGCUUUGUUAUGGUUAAAGUCUUCUUUGUAUUUUGUAUGGUUUUUCUUUUUCUUUUUUGUAACUUUAAAUUUGGAAUAAAUAUCAUUAAAAAAACAAACAAACAUCUGGAGGGCCGAAGGUUGGGGAUGCUUGCCUUAGCCUCUUGUACUCACCUGCUUAACAUCAUGUAUGAAUGGGAUAGAUAGUAGGGCUUCCAGUCUUAAACUAUGGGCAGGUUUGUAUGGGGGCAGGUUUGGAACCUAAGCCAUUGAAAGCUUUCAAGGUUAAUACUAGCGCUUCAAAUUGAACCUGAAAACAAGCAGGCAAGCAGAUGAAUGCAGGUGUUGUAUGCUGGAACUCUUUGCUUUAAUUAAAGCUAUGCAGUUUCACUUGAGAACAUAAGAAGAACCCUGCUGGAUAUAUGUAGUCCAGCAUCCUGUUUUCCAAUGUAGUCAACUAGGGACACAGGUGGCGCUGUGGUCUAAACCACUGAACCUCUUGGGCUUGCCGAUCAGAAGGUCAGCGGUUCGAAUCCCCAUGACGGGGUGAGCUCCCGUUGCUCUGUCCCAGUUCCUGCCAACCUAGCAGUUCGAAAGCACAUCAAAGUGCAAGUAGACAAAUAGGUACCGCUGCGGCGGGAAGGUAAACGGUGCUUCUAUGCGCUCUAGUUUCCGUCAUGGUGUCCCGUUGCGCCAGAAGUGGUUUAGACGUAUUGGCCACAUGACCCGGAAAGCUGCCUGUGGACAAACGCCGGCUCCCUCGGCCUGAAAGCAAGAUGAGCGCUGCAACCCCAUAGUCACCUUUGACUGGACUUAACUGUCCAGGGGUCCUUUACCUUUACCUUUACCAACCAGAUGCACCCAGGAAACUCCCACAAGUGGGAAAUGACACUGCUGUUCCCUACCAAUGGGCCUUCAGAGGCAUAUUGUCUCUGAUUCUGGAGAUAGCAUUAAAACAGGCCAUCAGCAACCUUGUAAAACAGGCCAUCACACAUGUUUGGGACUACAACUCCCAGCAGCCCCAGCGAGUUGUAGUCCCAAACAACUUUAUGUUCUUGGGGAGUUGCUCCAACCUCAUUUUGGUUGUCCUUUUCCUGAACAUUUUCCAGUUCUACAAUCCCCUUUCUGAGGUGAGACAACCAGAACAGUUUUCCUAAAUUCACAAUACUUAACUCAUGUCAUAAUCUUUAGGAAUGGUUAUAUUCCAUUUUUAGCUGAUCAUUCUGGUCCAGGAAAUGCUUAAAAAGAACAAAUGCCCUCACAUAAUUUUUAAUUUUUUAAAAUGAGUCCUUGUCGGGCUUAGUUGCAGAUGCAGCAAUAUAUCAUAUAUCCUACACCCCAUGCUGGGUACUCCCAGUUAUCGGAUCGAGAGCUAAUGUAGAAAAUUGCCCAGUCCCCCCCCCGCCUUGCUGUCUGUCCUUGUGGAGGUUUAGAUUCUGUCUGAGGAUUAAAUAGAAUCGAAACUCUUGCAGUCUUAAUGACAGGUAUUUCUAAGUGCCGGAGCAUAUGCACAUAUGAUUCUCUGUUGGAAACAUAUUAAUUAGCAGAUGUAGCCAUUUUUUAAUUAGAAGUUAUAUUGUUAGAAAUAUUGCAGAUUAUUCUUUCCCUGCCAAAACACCACUAUGCAUCAGUUUCAAGGCCCAAGGCAAAAAUACAGAACAGUAAUUCAAGAAAGAUUUAAUAACAAAGUGAGGAAGGGCAAGAAAUAUUAUUGCAUCGGAUUUUAUAUUUGGGAAGGAAGGAGGGGGAGAGCUAUGACUUUGGUGAGAAAUUUAUAGCACAAUCCUGUACAUGUCUACUCUUAAGUAAGGAAGGGGGAUUUUUAAUUCAGUUCUUAAUUAAAAGCAAACCCACCUUAUUUGCACUUUCCGAAUCAAUAGAACUGAAACAGCCUUUGAAAUUCCCACGUCUCCAAAUUUUGCAAGUAGCUCUCUAGCCAAUAAUGUGUACAGAAGUGUCAAUAAAAUGCAUAUAUUAGUGAAAAGAACCAUACAAAAUGCACUGUAUUGGAGAAGUGGCAUUGCAUUAAUGUGUAUAUUAGGCAAAAUUGCAUAUUAACCCAUGUGAAUUAGGAAUUGGAAACAAAAUGCUUAACAUUUUUCAUGGGGAUUUAAAAAAAACCUGAUAUGGAAAUGUAUAUAUUUUAUUUCAGUCAAUGACCGGUAGAGAAGAUAAGAAGAAAACACAGCACAUAAAACACAGUAAAAUACGUUAAGUAUACCAUUAAAUGUAGAGCUAAAAACAAUGUAAAAGAUUGCUCUAAGAUUAGAUGGGUUAGAUUAGAUUAGAAGAUUAGAUAGAUCAGCAUCAGAGUCAUGGCUAGGGACCAUGGUAUCUGAAGGAUUGCCUCUUGUUGCAUGUCCUUGUGGGUGCCCUGAGAUCAUCAGUGGAAGCCUUACCGGAGUGCUCCGUAAGGUUUGAUAUUGCAUACCUUGUACCUGCAAAAAAAACAACAACAGGGCCUUAUCAGCAGUGGCCCCUUGUUUAUGGCAUAUCCUGCCCAGAGAGGCUUGUCUGUUGUCUGUUUCAAUGUCUUUUUGGUGCUAGACUUUUUUUAUCUUCAGCGACUUUUAAAAUCUGAUACUUUUAAUCCUGUAUUGUGCUGUGAUUUAAUACGGCUCUCUUACUUUCCCUAGAGUUUAAUAUUUUGUGUUAUUUGCUGCUUGGUAUGACUUUCUUUUUUCCUUUUUAAUUGAUACAGCAAGAAAAGAAAAAAGAGAAAACACAAAUACCAAAUUUCUUUCAAGUUUUCCCUCUCUGUUUUAGAGUAAUUGUCUUAGCGCUGCUGCACAGAGCAUACAGUUCCAAUAUCUUUAGUGGGCCUGAGUAGCAUUCCUAACCUAGCACUAAUAUCUGCUCACACUAGAUCAUCAGGUACCAUUCAGUACAUUUUCAGUUCAUUUGAGUGGGAUUAAUAGCAAUGUAAUGGCACCCUGCCAGCCUCCCCUAGCUUAAAUUUGGUCUCUGUUGGACUCAAUUCUUCCCCUUUAAUAGCAGAGCAGCCUCAGGACUGGUCUAAAAUAUGUUGGCUUCUGUCUUCAUCAUUUAAAAGUCCUUGAAUCUGCGUUUGAUAAAUUCCGUUAGCAGUGAUGACAGCUGCAUUACCGGAUUAGGAUUGGUUGCUUUAUUUAUUUAUUAGCAGUCUUUUUUAUAAUGCCCAACAACUGACAUUGACUGAUGUUACAUUAAGUAUAAAAUGGGAAAGCCGUAAAGAUUAGAACGAGCAAAAAUUUGGACUACACUAGAACAAACACAAUGUAAGUUAAAACAAAACAGAAAAAUAUUCUGUGUGAAAUAACUCUCUUUCCUGUGUUUGAAUGUUUUGGUGUUGAUGUCUACGACUUUGCUACAAUUUCAACAUCUCGCUAUGAGACUGCCCAAAUUGUAUGUUUUAUAUCUUAUACUCCCCCCUUGUGCAGGGUAUGUUGCAGCCCUUGUAAGAUUAGGCUGUGGGUCAGAAGCAGCCCAGGGGGUCCAGAUCACACACUUCUCAACCACAUAUAAGAAAAAAAGGCAUGUUUCUUGGAGACAACACAUACUGACUGGAGAAUGUGCAUAUUGCCUAGAGAAUGCACAAAAUGUACACCCCCAAGGCGUUUUGGAGAUUAUGUAGAAUUUACAAAACACAGCCAAGAUGUGCACAUUCCCCAAGACCUAAGGGGGAUUAUGCAUAAUGACCAGUACAAAAUUCCACCUAAAUGUGAACAUUCUCCAAGGCCUGCUGAAGAUAAUGCAUGUCGCCUGUGCAAUGUGCACAGUUCUCUCUUCGUUGAUGAAUUGUGUGCACAUUCUCUGUGAGGUCUGGCUCAUUGUUAUGCUUAUUAACUACUCAGCUUAGCUCAUUCCCCUUAACAUAUACACACCUAUCAAGUCAGGUGCUAAGAUAUAUGUGUUCCCUGAGUAUUUAGAACACCCUCCUAAACUUCUAAAAGGGGCUCCUAAUUUGUUGGGAGUACAGGGCAGCAUUUCUGCAGUUCAUUUAGUUCAGCAGGAGAAGGAAGAGGUGGUGAGUGUGUGCUGCCUUUCCACAGUUCAAAUCAUGCUCAAUGUGGCUUAGAACGUGAAAAAAAAAUGCAUAACAAAAGUAGUCAUAAACAAUAACUAAAACAAUUUUAAAAUGCACAACCAAACUGAACAAUUUCCACAUAAAUUGCAAGAAGAUCUAAAAUAAAGUUGCAAAAUAGCAACAGCAACCCUCUUCCCCAGCCUUUUUGUAGCUGGAGUCAAUCCUCCCAGGCGAGGUGGGAAAAAACCUGAAAAGCAGGCAGCAGAUCUUCCAGGAUUCACAGCCCAUGGGUGGAACAGACUUAUGAAUAAGUGCAUGUGAAGCUAUAUCAUGGACUGGAAAUAUACCGAUCGUCCCAAUCCUAACGGGGAGUAAGGAGCUGGGAUAAAGGCUUCAUGGAAAACAUGGGCUUUGAGGAAGGAUUUGCAGGAAACGAGAGGUACAUUUCCUGGGUGACACUUCUAGGCGUAAUGAGCAGCAAGGAAGAAAGAGAUGACUUUCAUAAACUUCAUAGGCUUAGUUUGCAACAGGGCCAGCCCUACCAUUGGGCUUGCUGGGUUGUAAGGUUGAGGGAACAGCGAUAGCCCCUCCAGCCUUUCGCCUGAGCCACCAGGCCAUUUACCUCUGCCUGAUCUGUCCCUGUCCCUCUUAGCUGAAGUUACCAUCAGCUGCAAGUUGAGUUGGCUUCUACACAUGUAAUAGGCUUGUCUGGAAGCAAACUGUCUUGGGCCAAAUGGUCUUAGUUCUUGAUUCGGUUUCAAAUUGUUCCGGGCUGCUUUUAUGCGCCACACAGCACCAGCAUCAGACGUCUGCGUUCAGCUCUAUUUAUUUGUCUUUGUCUAUUGAUUGCCUGUCAUUGUUUCCUGUAUUCCAUUUGUUUUUCCUUGAGUUUAAAAGACCAGAACAUUGAGUGGUUGAUAAAUAGAUUUGAAAAGUUGCCUUCGUUCCAUGGCGGCUCCUCUCAGGAAUCUCCCGUUAUCCUCUGGUGAAAUGUUACCAGGUACUUUGUUACAUUAAUGGUCCUCAGUGAUACGUUACAGGUAUUGUUUUGUCUCGAACACAAGCAAUGCUCUUAGAGGGAAUUGUUCGCCCUUGUCUCAGAAGCACAUCCAUUGCCACAGAAGUGGAUACUUGACUAGAGAGCAGUUCUCAUGAUCAAUAGAUCAUGUCAGCUUCCCUUCUCAGGAGCAAACCUUCCUGAUUUUUAAUUGUACACGCACACACACACGUAGUAGCGAGUUCCAUCAAAUGUUUUGUAAUGUGAGAAGGGGUGUAUAUAUCGAGCUUCUCAUAGAAAUUCAGAAGGUGUGUGUGUGUGUGUGUGUGUUCAUAUCACUUAUUCAUCCCUGGCUAAUCCCUUCCUGAUUUUUAUCUCCUGGAAAGCGAUUUAUGUAUCCAGCAGAGAAAAUCAUGCACAAGCUACCUAAAUCUGAUGUGCAAUUGACCAUGUGCAUCUAGGACUUUGCCAGGAGUAAGAACCUUUCGUGAAGGGGGGGGGGAAUGUAUCGCUGAAUCACUGCUUUUGCUGUAAAGCCAGUUGAGUUUGAAUGAAUAGCAGGCUAACUGGUGCAAUUUCUCCCCUGAAGAUUAUCUAAUCUUUCCCGAAGAUUAUCUUCAAACAGGUGUUUUACUACUUUCGGUCAAAGCCUUUCGUCAGUGUUUGAUUGGCAGAAUGGCUGUUGAGAUUCAGUGGCAAUAAGGUUAUACAUGCUCGAGGGGGGAUGUUCACAUAGAGAGGUGGCAUCAUUUAAACUGACUAUGGUUGCUGGUGGUGUAAUAGUUCACAACUCAGUCAAGUGCAAAAAUGGCCAUUCAACGUUAGGGGCGAUUAGUUAUAUGCUUGUAAGUUCUCUCGGAAGGGUGGCAUCAUUGAGCCAGUGCCAAGGCCCUCAAUAUAGCAAGAAUCCCAGUGCCAGAUUCCCAAAAUUCCUGGCUUUGCACUGUAAGAAGUGCUGGGCUGAUGCCCACUGGUGCCACAUAGUUAUAUAUGUAAAGGUAAAGGGACCCCUGACCAUUAGGUCCAGUCGUGAACAACUCUGGGGUUGCGACGCUCAUCUCGCUUUACUGGCCGAGGGAGCUGACGUUUGUCCGCAGACAGUUUUUCUGGGUCAUGUGGCCAACAUGACUAAGCUGCUUCUAGCAAAACCAGAGCAGCGCACGGAAACACCGUUUACCUUCCCGCUGGAGCGGUACCUAUUUAUCUACUUGCACUUUGACGUGCUUUCGAACUGCUAGGUUGGCAGCAGCAGGGACCGAGCAACGGGAGCUCACCCCCUCACGGAGAUUUGAACCGCCAACCUUCUGAUCGGCAAGCCCAAGAGGCUCAGUGGUUUACACUACAGCGCCACCUGCACCCCUUAGUUAUAUAUGUAGUGUGGUUAUAAAAUCUGCCUGUUUUCUGGGAACUUCAUUAAAGGUACUGUUCUGUCAUUGGAGAUGAGCUGAGCGGUUCUGGGAGAAAGUGCCUUCUCAGUUGUCCUGCCCCAAUUGCUGAACACGCUUUGGAAAAAAAUAGCUGAACCAUGUACCAGUAAUGUGCCUGUUUUACAGUUUUUCUCCAUGCCUUUUCUGUUUACUGGCUGGUCAGUUUCUUGCUUGGUUUUACCACUGCUGGCUUUAUUACUGCAGUGUAGCACGGUGUUUUGGAUUAUUGUUAAGGUUUGAGCUUUUUAUGGCAUUGUAUGCAUUAAAUACCUUUCUAUUUAAAUGCAACCAACUUGGCAAUUAAUUGGGGAAAUGGACUAUAGUUAUCUAAGCUGCACUGAAAGUAUAAACUGGGCCCAAAAACCCAUGUAAUCAGUGAGAUACAAAUGUGCAUCCCUUAUUUUUGUGAUUUGACAAAGCCCAGAUUUAGUGUGCUGUUAACUUAAGUUGUACUUAUAGAGUUAGACGUUCUGAAAUUAAUGGCCCUAACAUAUUCAUGCUCAUUUAUUUCAGUGAGACUUCUCUAAGCAAGGCCUGGCAAUUUAUAGCCUCCUUACAUUGACUAGCUUUUAGUAGCCAGAAAGGUGCUGAUAAUUAUAUAAUUUAAAUUAAUGAUGUAUCAUUUAUGACUUCAGGUUCGACAGUGGAAUUUGCUGCCAAGGAGUGUGGUGGAGUCUCCUUCUUUGGAGGUCUUUAAGCAGAGGCUUGACAACCAUAUGUCAGGAGUGCUCUGAUGGUGUUUCCUGCUUGGCAGGGGGUUGGACUCGAUGGCCCUUGUGGUCUCUUCCAACUCUAUGAUUCUAUGAUUCUAUUCUAGGUUAUAAUUCUCAACCAAAAGCAGAUCAAACAAAAGUUAAAGUAUGACUUUGCAUUAAUAUUAUUUUUGAAAUGUUGAAAAGCAACGGGAGUCCACAAUCCAAGCCCUAGUCAUGUGCAAGUCAUUUCUCUCUCUCUCUGUCACUCACUCACACAUUCUCAGAGAAAUUGAACUGAAUGAUUCUGGCAACAUUUCGUUGCCCUGGAUGCAAUAUGGAUCAGCUGCAGGCAUGCAAACCUGUUUUUGCAUGCAGAUCUCACUUGCCGGAUCAGGUGAGUGCAUAAUUCAGUUUGAUGGAUGAGUUCCCCGCUUGUUGUUGUUUUGCCAACGUUCUGAAUACGAAUAUCUAAACCGUUGCUCUUUGGAGGGAGUGUCUGGGAAAAACGCAUGUGUUUGUGUUUGAAGGAAUGCAAAAGAGAAAGUGGAAGGGUGUUGAACCUCAUUAUGAGAUGUCAAAUGUAGGGGCGGGAGCAGGAAUUCGGAUUCAUUUGCAUUUUUAUGCGAACCUACUUCAUUCACUCUUCCCCAAACAAUAUACAGUGGUACCUCGGGUUAAGUACUUAAUUUGUUCCGGAGGUCUGUUCUUAACCUGAAACUGUUCUUAACCUGAAGCACCACUUUAGCUAAUGGGGCCUCCUGCUGCCGCCGCGCCGCCGGAGCCCGAUUUCUGUUCUCAUCCUGAAGCAAAGUUCUUAACCUGAAGCACUAUUUCUGGGUUAGCAGAGUCUGUAACCUGAAGCAUAUGUAACCUGGAGCGUAUGUAACCCGAGGUACCACUAUACAAGCCAAAUCAUGACUAGACUUCAAAAUGUGCACUUCUCCAAAUUUUGCAGUGCAGUUGUCCAGCCAAAGAUAUACAGUGGUACCUCGGGUUACAUACACUUCAAAUUGCAUACAGUUUAGGUUACAAACUCCGCUAACCCAGAAAUAUUACCUCGGGUUAACUUCCGGGUUGGCGCCUCUGGCAAUGGCGGAUUUCCUCCGGGAGGAAUCCGCUCCGUGGAAAACAGGGUCUGAACUGCCACGGCGAGGCGGAGACCCAUCAAAAACCACAGGCGGGAGAAGCCUGUGGACGUGGGAUUCGGCUGGCACCUUUGUGCCCCCCCUACUCGUGGGUAAACCCUGUUUUGGGGAUCCGGAGCGACGUGGGGUGAGUGGCGCGGUGCUUUGAAUCAACUGCUUCUUUCACGGAGUGAAGCCGCAUUGCUGUUGCCGGAGAGCGCUGACUUUUUCCUGUGGAUAAUUGGAUUUUAAACAACUGCCCAUGAGUAGAACGGAAAAUUGGACUAUGAAAUUUCUUAAUUAGGCACCGAAAGCGGGAAGGUCUAAACAGGAAGUCCGCCUUCCGGUUUUGUAGAUAGAUUGAAGCAAAGACAUGGUAAGCUAGAGUUUAGAAAGUCGUUUGUAAAGGACUAAAUUUUCAUCAUUUAAAAUUACUGAACCCCCCUUGGAAGCAGGAGAAGAGGGGGGAACCUUUUUAGACUGUUUAAACCUGCAGAAGAGAGAGUAAAGAAAGGUAAUUUUCCACCGUCUUGAACCUGGGAACGGGGUGUCAAGACAGACGUUUUGGAGAAGUUCAUUGACUAUGGACAAACGUUUUUGACAGAUAGUUAAAAGAAGAGAAACAUAUUGAUUCCAUUGUUCCCUUUCGCAUUUAAAAGGAACAAAAUAUUGACAAAGUAUCUGAAAAAGGAAAACUUUGUUGCUAGAUCUGCUUUUUUUUUUUAAAAAAAAAGAUGGAUACAAAUAGAAAUUGUUUCCCCUAGAGGGAGCUUGUGAAACUGUUAUUAAAGUCGAACUGGGGAGCUUUGCAGCUGUAAAGAUUAAAGAUCGUGGGACCAGACUUCGACCUUGAACAAGAAUGUGCUCAGAGGCUCUGGUGCUUGCCUUUUGCAAGACAAGUGCUUUAUUGGAACAGUUACAUGAGAAGAUGGAUUUGAUGACUGUUGCGAUUGGAAAUUUUGGACAGGCAGUGGGUACCUAUAUAGAACCCACUCAGGAAUUAAUCCAGGAAUGUGCUUUGACAGAUGAGAUGAGGGAGGAGGUUGUUGCUGGACCUCGGGUGGCAGAGAUGGAGGGAGCUGUGGCCCAGCAGGAACAUGAGUUGUUGGAUUUGACGAAUGAACCUGGAAAAAGUCAGAUUUGGAGAGAUGGAGUUCUGUUUGGCUUGGAGAUGGGGGGCUGGAUGGACCCCCCUAUGCAGGGAUGUUUUGACCUUUCAAGUCUGGCUUUAGGCCGGGGGGAGCUCGGAGUUGUGGGGGCCCCUAACUUUGGAGGGACCUUGAAACAUGCCUUUAAAUACCACAUGGAUUUCAGUGUUGACUAUGGAAAAGGGGAUGACUUGUCGAGAAGGGACAAAAAUAUUGUCAAGCUGGAGUCUCCCCGAGUGAAAGGAGCAGAAGACAAAGUAAAGUACAGGUAUAAACAUGAAGAAGACCUGCGGAAGGGACAUGGAAAAGACUUAAGAGCCUCUGAUAUAAGGUCACCAGGUUGAUGGACUAGAUGGAUGGGAUAGAAAGGACUGACAAAACCCGAGACCAGGAAGAAGAGAUGAUGGAUGAAGACUGGAAGAAAGUUUUAAAAAUUUAUUUAGAAAAGUAUCGUAAAAUUAAUGAGUAUUAGAAAAAUGUUGGAAUGAAAUUAUUUGGCUUUAGCAGAAAUGUUAAAAAGAAUUAUGUAAGAAUAUGUUAUGGUUAAAAGAAUUUGGUAUAAAUAAGAUUUAAGUUUUAAGUUUUAGGGUUUUUUAUGGUAAGAUAAGGUUAAAAUAGAUUAAGGUAAUUUAAUGACAGAAUAUUGUGAAAGAUGGAAAGGAUUUGCUGAGAUAAUUAACAACUAGAAUACAAAAAGGGAGGUGUGAGGAGGUCGAUGAAAUAAGUUAAUGAAAGUUAAGGAUUUGGGAAUAUUGGAUUUGUUUUUAAAUUUUUUGUUUAUUUUUGCUUUUUGAUUGUGAUGCAUUGUGUGUUUUGUUUUUUUGUUUUUUCUUUUUAUUGAUUUGUAUUGUUUAAUUGUUACUUUUAUCUACUUUUUUCUUUCUUUUUCUCUUUCUCUUGUUUUUUCCUUCUUUUUUCUUUGUAACUUUAAAAUUCUCAAUAAAUAUCAUUAAAAAAAACCAAAAUGUGCACUUCUCCAAAUUUUGCAGUGCAGUUGUCCAGCCAAAGAUAUACAGUGGUACCUCGGGUUACAUACACUUCAAAUUACAUACACUUUAGGUUACAAACUCCGCUAACCCAGAAAUAUUACCUCGGGUUAAGAACUUUACCUCAGGAUGAGGACAGAAAUUGAGCAGUGGCAGCAGGAGGCUGCAUUAGCUAAAGUGGUGCUUCAGGUUAAGAACAGUUUCAGCUUAAGAGUGGACCUCCAGAACGAAUUAAGUACUUAACCCGAGGUACCACUAUAUACCUAACUUUGGGGGAAAUGUGCAUUUUGAAAUGAAUGGAUGCAUUGAUGAAAAUGCCAUUAAUAAUUAAAAUACAACAACGGGCAUUACAUUAGGGGAGCUUGCUGGCGGAAAUGUGUAUAUUAGGCUAAAAUGACAUCCUGUGUAUAUGAGAAGAGAUGUGCAGGAAAAUGCUGAUGAUUUUUACAAGGAUUUGGUGCAGGGUGGGGGAUCGCAAGCUGAUUUGGAAAUAUGGACUGAAUUAAAGAUUGGGAAACAGAGAAAUGAAGGGAAUCCAAAAGUGACAGACUUGGCCAUUCCAAGUUAAAUGAGGAAAAGAAAGACCGUUGCAUAGCAAAAGGUUUGCAAUGGAGAACCUCACUUCCUGCCCCUUGCAUGGUCCCGCCUCUUUAUUUCAGCCAGUCAGAAUGUAGAUAUUUGCAUAGUGAGGGCUAUGCAGUUAUUUCUCAUUAAGCCAACUAGGUUUCUUGCUCCCGCCAGAAACCCGGUUGAAAGCCCUGUGGGUGGGAGCUGUGGAGCUUUAUGAAUAAACAACUCAUCCGCCUUUCCAGCAUCUCGUUGAGCACCGGGGGAUUAUUAUGACUAAGGUAGAGCUCUUAAAAUGCAACUACCCAGGCUUUAAAAACCCUUAUGAGUGUGCAAGGGAGAAUAAUCCUUAUUGAGCUGUGGGGAGGGGGUUUGAAAAGGCACGGGAGACAGAGGAUCAAAGAGGUUAGCAGGAAGAGAGCACGUUUCAGCAAUAAUGAGGUUGCUCUCUGUCAGCUCAAUAUAUUAAAUGUACCCUACUUUGACAACCCUCUUGGCCUCUGCUGGUUGGCUUAUUUAGCCCUAGGUGUCUGCAAGCCUUGCCGCUGUAUCCAGCCGGAAUGAGGGCCUAAAUUCUAAUUGGAAGCACGGAGAGCAGGAAGAAGCUUGCGGCCUCAUAUAAGGCACAAGUGCUCUUAAGUUAUUAUCCUAACCAAUGCAUUGAUCCAUUCCACUGCCUAUGCUGUUGGGAUUAUUAUAGUGUGUUUCCUUGCUCAGUGCCAGGAAAAGGAGCCAAAGUUCUCUGAUUAAAAGCAUACAUCUAUGCUGACCUGAAAUAACUUGCGCUUUUCAGAACUGGGGGAAUCCAAGACAAAUGUCCGUUUCCCUUAAUAAUUCCUUACAUUGUGGUUUUCACCAGAGAAAUCUUAUCAAAUCUGAAUGCCUUCUUGUGCUUCUAAUUAAAAUGUACUUUAAAAAAAAAUUAUUAAAGAUUUUCUUGGGUUACAAAAGUACACACACUGUCUCUGUUUUCAAAUCAUGAAAGCUCCUUUCUACAAAUCAGUUCUACUCAGUAUUUUUUUUUCUGGGGGUAUUGAAGGGUGCACAGUACUGGAACCUUUUAUUUUGUUUUCCUAGAAGAAAAGCACUGGUUCUACUCGGCGUGAGUGAACACAGGCUGCCAUUUUGGGGGUAAAUGUUUGUAUACGUAUUCCUUUGCUGGUUUUUUUAACUUUUAAAAAUCUAUGCGGUUUGCAUAAAAGGGCAUGAGAUAUUUAUGAAAAAUAGCAAUAAAGUAGACUUUAAAAACAGGAGAUGUUAUAUAAUCAUCAAAAUAUAGUUAAUAGUGUUUUUUUAAAAGAAAAACCUAGACAUUGCUGCCGCAUUAACUAUUUUAGGAUUGGACGCAAUGGUUGGACCUCUGCAGAGUUAAGGCAUGGGAUUGUGCAUUAACCCUAGAGCAUCAUUGCACCCACACAGUCCUGCAAGGCCAGGAAAAGCCACCAUAAAGAGGGCAACUGUUGUGGCUGGGGUGGCCUAGCAUGUGUUUUUCUUUUCUUUCCGCUCACGUGCCAGAAAGGUAAAGAUAAGGCCGAUUUCCGCCUGCCCAAUUUUGCUCUUUUUUUAACUUUACAUCGGGGAUGGGGAACCAUUUUCACCCUGGGAGCCCCUUCCGAGCAACUUUCUUGCAAGCCGUAGGCAGGAGCAGAGCAACAAAUACGAAUUAACCUUUGUACAGUGGGGUAGUUUCUACACACAUUCAUGCACCUCUCUGUAUUCUCCAUUCCAGACAAACAAGAAGCAUUAUCAUAGUUCAGCGUUGUAUUACAGCUAGGCGGAAACAUUCAGUGAGGGUGCAGAGCAGCACCAAUGAAAGGAGUACAGUGGUACCUCAGGUUACAUACGCUUCAGGUUACAGACGCUUCAGGUUACAGACUCCGCUAACCCAGAAACAGUGCUUCAGGUUAAGAACUUUGCUUCAGGAUGAGAACAGAAAUCGUGCUCCGGCAGUGCGGCGGCAGCAGGAGGCCCCAUUAGCUAAAGUAGUGCUUCAGGUUAAGAACAGUUUCAGGUUAAGUACGGACCUCCGGAACGAAUUAAGUACUUAACCCGAGGUACCACUGUACAGAGCUACCAGCAGAAGUCCCAGGGUGGUUUAACAGGGAACCUUGGGAAUUGUAGUUCUGUGAGGGGAAUAGGUGCCUCCUAAUAACUCUCAACACCCCUAACACACUACAGCUCCCAUUUGGGAGGGCAGGGGGGAGCCAUGACCGUUCAAAGUGGUAUCAUAGUGCUUUAAAGGUAGUUUAAAGGCAGUUCGAAAGCACGCCAGUGCAAGUAGAUAAAUAGGUACUGCUGCGGCAGGAAGGUAAACAGCGUUUCCAUGCAGUGCUCUGGUUUCCGCCACGGUGUUCCGUUGUGCCAGAAGCGGUUAAGUCAUGCUGGCCACAUGACCCGGAAAGCUGUCUGUGGACAAACGCCGGCUCCCUCGGCCUGAAAGCGAAAUGAACACUGCAACCCCAUAGUCGCCUUUGACUGGACUUAACCAUCCAGGGGUCCUUUACCUUUUUUACCUUUUACCUUUGUUUGCCUCCUGUGAUCUUCUCCCGGAAUGUGCACAUCUCCAAGGUAGUGCCAAUGCAUUGACAUCCUUCCAGGCUACAUAUGGCAAAGGUGAGAGGCACUACAGGUGUGGCAUUCACUCCAAACACAUCUUAACAUCUUCUGCAAUGUAAAGUGGCACUGCAUGGCAAAUGACCAAAGGAGUUGCUGUAGACUAUAGAAGUGAGAGGAGGAGGUCUUAUCUGAUCUCUUCUGCUGCCCGUCAGAGGAGCAAGGUCUGCCAAGUCAGCUGCAGCACCUUUGUACAAGUAUGAGAAUACCUACUUGGUUCCAGGUGGCUAUAGAUGCUCAUUUACAACUCACCACUUCGUUCCAGUGUUCCCCACUGGGUCUCUCUUCUUUAACAGCGACUCCAUUCCCCUUUCCUUGUAUAGCUGCUCCGCCCUCUCUCUUUUAAUUGAUGCGAACCAUUCUUUGGUGACGAUAUAUGGCUGAACAGUGGGAUAAAAAUAUGAGGAGGUAUAAUGGGAUUGUUAUAUGCAUUUUCAUAAACCAAAAGUUUAAAAUAUGAAGAAUAUACAGUCAUACCUCAUGUUACAUUUGCAUCAUGUUAUGCUUUUUCGGGUUGCAUCCCGCGGUGACCCGGAAGUACCAGAAAGGGUUACUUCCGGGUUUCGCCGCUCGUGCAUGCACAGAAGCGCUAAAUUGCACUUCACGCACCUGCACAAAUAUGGUGCUUCACACACACACACACACACACACACACACAAGGAAAUAACUAGAAAAAUAAAGCAAUCCCUGAGGAUAACAAGGCUUCUUCUUCUUUUAAUGCAUGACAUGGGCUUAUUUAUCAUGGCUCCUUUAAAAUAUAUACAUAUAGAUAGAUAUUAAAAAACAAAAUAAAACACACAGCUUAGCAAUGUUUUACGGCACUGCAGGCCUUUUGAAGUUUCCUGAUAACAAAAAGCUAUAACUGCAGCAAAACUCAAGAUCGAGGUUAAAGUUUUGAUUUAUUAAUUAAAUGACUUUGGUUGCCACGCAGAAUAAGAACUCUGAGGUUCAUAUCUCACCAUUUAAAACCUGAACUAGUUGAUAAUAAAGAAAGCUGAAAGUAAACAAAGUGUGAAGGAGAUGCACAAAAGCACAACUGAGUAGUAACAGUAAUAAUUAUUAAUUCUCAAUGACUUCUAGCCUUUCUGUAUAAUUCUUUUUUAAAAAACAACCACCACCUGUUAUUGGUAAUUUGCUCACAAGUGUAAACUACAAUGAUCUGCUUUGAAAUGGAAGCAGGACUUGGCGGCAGAUGAAAAUUAAGGUCAAUAUAAUGUGUCUCUCUGCAUGGCAAAUACAAACAUUGAUGUUCAUUGUGUCAUAGUCUUAAAAGAUGUAGGAACCAUAACUUGUGAAGUACUUUAUAACAUUUAUAUCUGCCUCAGAGGGCAAUUACGUGGAAAGACUUUUGAAGUGAUGAAGUUCUAAGCCAGGUUUUGUCUACCUUUAAAGCCCUUCAUGGCCUAGGACCCUCGUACCUAUGGGACCACCUCACCCGGUAUGCCGCACGGAGAGCCUCAAGGUCCAUAAAUAGCAACACCCUAGUGGUCCCGGGCCCUAAGGAAGUUAGAUUAGCUUCAACCAGAGCCAGGGCCUUUUCAACACUGGCUCCGGCCUGGUGGAACGCUCUGCCUCAUGAGACCAGGGCCCUGCAGGAUCUGAUUUCUUUCCGCAAGGCCUGUAAGACAGAAUUGUUCCACCUGGCCUUUGGCUUAGAAUCAGUUUGAUUCCCUCCCUCUCUUUCUUUUUUCUUUUUCUUUUCUCCUCCUGUGAUGAGACUGCAUUUUAAUAUUUUAAUGUUUCAGUAUUUUAAUGUUGUAUUUUAAUCUUGUUUCUAAGUUGUAUUCAUUCAACUUGUUUUUAUUAUUGCUUGUUAGCCGCCCUGAGCCUGGCCUUGGCUGGGGAGGGCGGGGUAUAAAUAAAAAAAUAUUAUUAUUAUUACAACUCCCAUCAUCUCUAGCUUGCAGGACCAGUGGCCAGCAUGAUGGGAAUUGUAGUCCAAAAACAGUUGGAGACCCAUUUGAGAAGCCAUGUUCUAAGACAUGGAUGGGGAACCUGUGGCCCUCCAGAUAUUGCAGCAUUACAACUCCCAUCGCCUCUAACCAUUGACCAUGCUGACCUAGGGCUGAUGGGAAUUGGAAUCUAGUGCCAUCUGGAGAGUCACAUAUGUUCUAAGCCCUCAUCAAUUGCCUUAAAAAGGUAUGUAUGCGGCUUGUGCAACAUGCUUAACAAUCUGUAGAUAUGGGAGUUAUGUCAGAUACAUCAUGUGUUCUUUCAUAUUCUGCUGGAAGCCACCCAGAGUGACUGGGGCAACCCAGUCAGAUGGGCAGAGUACAAGUAAUAAUUAUUAUUUGUUGUUGUUGUUGUUACCAGUGAGUUUCUUAAUGUGUGGUUGCAGGGUAGAGUCCCUCCCGAUAUACUGUAUUUUUCCGUGUAUAAGACUAGGUUUUCCCCUUAAAAAAAUAAUGUCAAAAAUUAGGGGGCAUCUUAUACAUGAGGCCAUCUCCCCCCAUUUUCUUAAAUCUGAGUCCCCCAAAAUAGGGGGCUUCUUAUACAUGGGGGCAUCUUAUAGAUGGAAAAAUACGGUAUUUAGGCUAGUUUGGGCCAUGCAGAAGCAAGUGUUGAAUAGGAGAAGAAAGCGAUGGAUAAUCACAGGCAAAGAAGUACUUUGUGGUGCAUAUUGUUAAGGCAGAGACUAAAGGCUCCUUUUCAGAAGUGACAGGUUUAACAGAUGGGAUGGUUCUUGAAAUUGUGGGAUAGGAAGAUGUGGUGAUAUUGGGAACAGCACGAAACAGAUGCCCUAGAAAAGGCCAAGAGAAAGGGUCAGAUGCAAUUCCUUUAGGAAAGUCGUUCAGAAGAAUGCAUUAAAUUUAAUGAGUGCAUAAUGGAGUGCUACAACAAUUCUGUACGUGUUGUUACUAAAAGCUGGGAGAUCGGAUAGUGUGAAAAUCCGCAGGAAGGUGCAAGAAGGGACAGAGGCCACUAUGAAUACUGCAUUAGAAGGGAAGGUGGGGGUGAGAAUGGGCGUAUGAUGUGACAUUCUGCCAAGAGAAAAAUGUGCAGGUAGAUUCAAGAAGGUACAGGUUAGCUCUUAAGUAUCAGGAAGUUGACAUUCUCCCCCUGGAUUCAUCCCACUCUGCUCUGGUCAUGUUAGAACAGCAAGAAUACAAGAAGGUCAAGGUUGUGUUGGUAUAUUGGUCAAUCUAGCUCAGUGUCAUCUAUGUUGACAGGUGAAAGUUCUCCAGAGUUUCUGACAGUGAUCUCUCGCAGCCUUACCUGGAGAUGCCAGGAAUUGAAUCUGGCCAUUGCCUCUUGGAUACAAACCUUAUGCUCUACACACCUUCUUUUUCUUUCCUAGCCGUGUGUCUACUCAAUCCAUUCCCCUAGCUGCUCUUUUUCCAGACGGAUGGAAACACAGAGAUCCAUGUAUCUUUCACAUUUGGGGGAGAAAAGGAACCAGGGGUAGGGGAAUUUGAGGCACAAAAUGGCUGUUGGGGAAGAAAGAGAUAAACCAGGGGUAGCCAACACGGUGCUCUCUACAAGGACUACAAGUCCCAUCAGCCCUUAGGAUGGACAAGGUUGAGGGAUGAUGGGAUUUGUAAACCACAAUAUCUGGAAGGGGCCAUGUUGGCUGUCCUUGGUUUAAAUCAGCCCCUUCUCUGCCCUCUACCUUGCCACUUAACCUGAUGCCACCUUUUCAUAAGACUUAACAACAACAACAACAACAACAACAACAACACUACAUUGAAUUGUAGAACAACAACAAAAAGAUGAAAGAAGCUGGAUGGGAGUUGGAGGAACCAUAAUUAUAGCCCCACCUGUAGAAAGUCUCCUGAAUUGUAGAUGCAUAGGCAUUGGAAGGAAAUACACGGCUGGUCAUAAAUGUCAAUUUUCCAUCGACCUUGACCAUCAGUGCAUUUCUUCUUCAGAAGGAAAAUUUAGCUGAAGCUGCAAUCCUGCUUGAUUAAAACAAGAUAGAGAGAGAGGAUGAACAGGGAGGAGUCAAUAAAUGCAAGUAAAGGGCAGUGUCCAGAAAUCGGUAUUUUAGAUCCGAACCAGGUUACUGUUUCUUAAAAUUUGACUUGAUGCAAGGUACAUGUUCUGAUUAAUAAAGUACAUCAGAGGUCUUUUGAGGAGAAAAAAAAUAUUAAAUGAUCCCCGCAGUGCUAUAAAAGCUAAAUCAGAAAGAACUACACUGCAUAGCAGAAUUCUGUAAGAUAAAUCAAUAACUCUACAUGCUCUAGCAGUGCUUUGUAAGCUAAAGCCAGAGUGCCCUUCCCAGUAAUCCACUGAGGAUGGCUUCAAACAUUAUGCAUUUCCUACAGGAAGUGUGAAAUUCCUACGUAGCAUGUUCCAUUUCAGUUAUAGGUUGGGGGAAUUUAUUUUUCAAGGCAGAGAAGGAGGUUUUCAGAACAGGCUAUAGCUUUGUCCUUAGGAAUACUGAUGACAAUAAUAAUGGGUUUUGAAAUUAAAUGGCAGAAAAAAGCAGUGUUUUUUUGUGUUUUCUCGUAAUUAAAAGGAGCUAAGUCGUCAUUGUUCUUCUUAAGCUAAGGGACUUGUGCCUUUCUUGGCAUGUGCCGCCACGCAAGCUGAUUUCCUUGUUUAUAACUACAGCUAUUCAGUGCAUAGAACCAGUGAGCUUGCCAGGCAUGUACGUGCUACAGAGGAACAAUUACAGAGCUCUGAAAUGUGGGGGGCCCCUGGUCUACUCUUAAUGGUAUUCCUGCUUGAUAGGCUUCCUCUUAAUCUAUUGUCAUGGUAUCUGCUGAGCAGGGUUGCAACGUUUAGUUGAUUAGUUGGUUAGAUUAAUUAACUGAAAAACAUUUGAUCCACUAAAAAGGUGCCCCUGGUUAAGUUGGCAGCACAUUAUUUUAAAUAAAUAAUACUUAUUUUAAAUACUUGUACUUAUUAAAAAAUGCAAAUCACAGGCACUGUCUUAGAAGAGGCUCCCCCACUUUUAAUGGAGCUGUAGAUACCAGGUCAGUAGCUUUCUUUGCCUGAGUGUUGUGCUGGAUCCUUUGCCCUGCUGUUGGAUUCCUGACAGGAAGGAGCCUGCAGUAAAUCACACUGCAAGUUGGAGUUAACUCUUCACUAGCAAGAAGACGAUCUGCACAGACUUGGAGGAGUGUCAGGCCUAAUGAGUACAGAAGCUCAUCCCUAGGUCUUGCCCCAAUGGCUCGGUUGCUGAAACUGAAAGUCCCUGCCUCCCUACACCAUCCCCUCCUCUCCAGGGUUUUCCCCUAAGCAACUGGAGACUGCGCCUACAUGAAGCCAACCUCUCCUCCACCCUUUUGAUGCCUCUUCUGGUUCUGGGAGGCAGAGGGGAAGGGGAGCUUGUUGCAGGAGGAAGGCAAGUGACUCUUCACCAGCCUAGGGCUGGACGAUAACUGGUUUUCAAUAUCAUGAUAUAUCACCAGCUAAACAUCAUGAUAUAUCAAUAUAUCAUGAUAUGUGAAUUAAGGAAGGAACAACGCAGAGACGAUCAAGACAAUGGUGAUAUGGUUUAGCUGGUGAUAUGGUGAGGUUUAGUUGCUGAUAACAUUGCAGUGUUUAGCUGGUGAGUUAUCACAAUGUUUAGUUGGUGAGUUAUCACGAUGUUGAAAACCAGAUAUCGCCUAGCCCAGGCAUAGGCAAACUCCGGCCCUCCAGAUGUUUGGGACUACAAUUCCCACCAUCCCUAGCUAACAGGACCAGUGGUCAGGGAUGAUGGGAAUCGUAGUCCCAAACAUCUGGAGGGCCGGAGUUUGCCUAUGCCUGGCCUAGCCCUUACACACAUUGUGAUUUGCGAUACAUUGCCAGCUCAAAUAUUAUGAAACAAUUAACACGAUGUGAACUUCAAACUUCAAAUAUAUUGUGUUAGACAAUAUAUUUAUAUAUCGCCCAGCCCUACACCAGCCUGACUCAUCUAUGCCUCUUGGCCUCCCUCCUCUCCCUGCUUCAGCUUCUGCCUACAAUUCUGGGCUUCUCUCUGCCACAGAUUCUCCCAGCUCACUAAGCCCUGUUACCUUUUCAGCUCCCGACUCUUCUCCCUCUGACCACUCAUUGUUGUCCCACCACCACUCUCUGGGCCCUGAGCCUUCUUUCCUUAGUGGUUACCCAGCUGGUUCCUCCCACCAUUCUUCUGCGUCCAACAAGUCCAUGACAUUUCCUUAGUUUGAGAUCCCUGUUGCCUUAACCUGGGUUCCUUUGUAACCAUAAGAACUGGGCAGAGACUGGAGAAAUCUCAGAAUCCAGAGAUUCCUGUGACCAGUGGGUGCAACUUUAUGUCCCUUCCAGUCCCUCCCUCCAUCUGGUUAGCAAGAGCAAUGCAAAUUGGACCAAUUUGCACCAGUUAUUCAGUAUUGUAUAUAGUUUGAGGUACUGUGUGUGUGUGUGUGUGUGUGUGUGUGUGUAAAAAAAGUCAAGAGUUUCCUAUUCUUACUCUGUUCUUGCUGAAGAGAGGCAAUGAAGUUUUUGCCUUGGCUGCUGUGACCUUGACAACAGGGAUUGAUGGGAAUGGGUGUUGCUUUGUAACAUGCACCUCUUAAAAGGCUAUAUUCUGCAACCUUUGUACUUUAGGAGCAUUUGAAAGAUCUGCAGUUAAGCUUUUAAAAAAAGUGUAAGGGCUAGCCCAGGCAUAGGCAAACUCCGGCCCUCCAGAUGUUUGGGACUACAAUUCCCACCAUCCCUAGCUAACAGGACCAGUGGUCAGGGAUGAUGGGAAUCGUAGUCCCAAACAUCUGGAGGGCCGGAGUUUGCCUAUGCCUGGCCUAGCCCUUACACACAUUGUGAUUUGCGAUACAUUGCCAGCUCAAAUAUUAUGAAACAAUUAACACGAUGUGAACUUCAAACUUCAAAUAUAUUGUGUUAGACAAUAUAUUUAUAUAUCGCCCAGCCCUACACCAGCCUGACUCAUCUAUGCCUCUUGGCCUCCCUCCUCUCCCCUGCUUCAGCUUCUGCCUACAAUUCUGGGCUUCUCUCUGCCACAGAUUCUCCCAGCUCACUAAGCCCUGUUACCUUUUCAGCUCCCGACUCUUCUCCCUCUGACCACUCAUUGUUGUCCCACCACCACUCUCUGGGCCCUGAGCCUUCUUUCCUUAGUGGUUACCCAGCUGGUUCCUCCCACCAUUCUUCUGCGUCCAACAAGUCCAUGACAUUUCCUUAGUUUGAGAUCCCUGUUGCCUUAACCUGGGUUCCUUUGUAACCAUAAGAACUGGGCAGAGACUGGAGAAAUCUCAGAAUCCAGAGAUUCCUGUGACCAGUGGGUGCAACUUUAUGUCCCUUCCAGUCCCUCCCUCCAUCUGGUUAGCAAGAGCAAUGCAAAUUGGACCAAUUUGCACCAGUUAUUCAGUAUUGUAUAUAGUUUGAGGUACUGUGUGUGUGUGUGUGUGUGUGUGUGUGUGUAAAAAAAGUCAAGAGUUUCCUAUUCUUACUCUGUUCUUGCUGAAGAGAGGCAAUGAAGUUUUUGCCUUGGCUGCUGUGACCUUGACAACAGGGAUUGAUGGGAAUGGGUGUUGCUUUGUAACAUGCACCUCUUAAAAGGCUAUAUUCUGCAACCUUUGUACUUUAGGAGCAUUUGAAAGAUCUGCAGUUAAGCUUUUAAAAAACCCUGUCAGAAAAUACUUGACCAAGAUAUGUUCAUUAUUUCAUUUACCAGUGAUUGAGGAUGCUCUCUCCCUUCUGUCAACCAGAGUUGCCGCAUUGCACCAUAAACCUGAGACAAAAUAUUAUUACAGGCCACAUAAUGCACAUUAUCCUUUUUUGUUUUACCUUGUACUUUUCCUGUAUAACUUGAAGCACCAGCAUUUACUGUUGAACCCUGAACGAUUUCACUUCUUAAAGCCAAGCUGUAAUUUGCUCUCAAGUUCCUUUUCCAAAUCUUCGUAAUUACACAUUUUUAAACAAAAUUCCUCUUAACUCAAGAAUUACAAGCACAAAAGGAUCCCAGGAAACAAUCAGAUAAGUAUUCAUUUAUUUAACUCAACAUAUAGAAUUAUGUUGCCAAUAGUUUUUUUAAAAAAAAGUUAAACUAUUAAUUAGCUAAAGAAGGUUUUAAAACUUUUUUUCUCUUUUUUCAGAGAUUCACACUGAAAUCCUCAGGAGUUCAUUGACUAUGGUAAGAAACGACCACCCUUCAAUAAAUGUUUCUGUGCUAGAGUUCUCUUUUGCCCCUCCAUAUACUGUACCUCCCAACUAAUGAGUUGACUGUAAACACAUUAAAAUCAUCUGCUUCAGCUAUUGGACAUGAAUGAGAAAUGGGUUAAACCUGGGAAAUUUUGCUUGCAUUUCCAUAAGCUAUUUCAGUUUUCAAUUGGCACUUCUUCAUCAAGCAUAAUCAUGGAGCUUUUGUGUUUUGGGUGUGUGCUUCUAGGAAAGCAAUCUGAAUAUGAAUUAGUAGGUCAAUGCAUUGCCGUACUGCUAGAAAAAAAAAUAUUUGGAGAAAUAUACACACCCCGCUCUCAUCGUGGGGCGUUGUGUUUGCUGAGCUGUCGGAAAUCCAGAAAGCUCUUUACAGACUCAAAAGUCCUCAUUUGAAGGCUUAGGAUUUCUUUGUUUUGUUCUGCAAUCUACUUAGUAUAGCUGAACAUGUAUUACAGGGAAUCAGGAGAGCAGCACCAGAAUAACACCAGUUUCAUUUACUCCCCCCAUUCAAAUCUGCUUGUAGCCACAACUGAAAAACCCAAAGCUCUCAAGAAUUGAUUGUUUAGGCCGGGGGUCAGCAACCUAAGGCCCAUGGGCCAGAAGUGGCCCGUGGAGGUCGUUUGACUGGCCCACGAGCCUCCCCCGAACCAAGUUUCCAGCUCGUGCGCUGUGCUAAACCGGUGCAGCGCGGCGCGGUGACUUGCUUCUGCAGCACCGAAAAUCGCAUCUAUGCAUGCACAGACACUGAAAAUCGUAUCUGCUCAGAUGCAGACGCCAAAAAUUGCGUCUGUGCAUGCACAGACGGCAAAAAUCGCAUCUACGCAGACGCCAAAAAUCGCGGGCAGGUGCGAUCCAGCCCACGGAGGGAUCUCUGUGGAACCGAUCCGGCCCAGGCAAUAUAAACCUUGCUGACCCCUGGUUUAGGCCAAAUCAGUGUGUGAAAAUCAGACUACUCUCCAGUAUUUAUUAGGAUCACCCCCCCCCCCGGCCGCUUAGGAUUGCCAGCUCUUGAUACAACAACUGCAACAACACCAGCAACUGGCCUCAGGGCUCUUUGUCCCUUAGCUUCCUUUGCCCCCAGGGGCACAAGGCUAGGAUGGAGCCAGCAAGUAUGGGCCCAUUCCAUUCCAGCCAUAUCCUUGGAGAUAUGUGUGCGGAAUCUGCAAAAAGUUUCUUUGCAAGCUGGCUUGAAUUCAUGGCAGGCUGCAAAGGAAGAUCCCUUUGCUGAUCCCAGCAGAAGCUGCAGUCAGCACUGCUUUUCACCACGGAUCUGCUGCACCCAAGAGCUCCAGUCAGGAAAUCCUGUGUUGGAACCAGUCCCAGUGGGGCUUGUGUUUGGUGCCAAAUUUAAAAGAUGCCAAAUGUGAGCCCUGCUUUUUCUAGGGACAACCAGGAAAACAAUUUAAGGCUCUUCCUCCUCCUCCUUUUGCAGAUGUGUCUUCACCUGCCACAUACCUGACAUUACAUAUUAUUUCAUUACACCUGGGUAUGAUUUGGGGAAAAUGGCCUCAUGGACCAAAGAUUGGUCUCACUGCUGCCUUUAAAGCUUUAUAAAACUGUAAUGAGCAAAAAUAACAACCGUAUUAUUUUUUUAAAAAAAUGGCUCUUGAAUUUUAGCAAUCUUUAUCUCCUGCAGAGCUUCCCUUUAAAUGUAAUGGUUUAGUAGAACUCUUUAUUUAAGUCACAUCUACACUAUACUUUUAAAGCAUUCUCGUACUACUUUAACAGUCCUGGAGAAUCCUGGGAACUGUAGUUUGUUAACAGUACUGGCAAUUGUAGGUCCGUGAGGUCAGUUUUAUGGACAUGCAAGCGUCAUACUCCCUGAAGGACACAACAGAGUGAUAAGAUCCCUUCAGAAUCCAACUUUGCAGAGGAGACUUGAUGAGACACUUUCUCCUUUGUUGGAGGAGAUCUGAAUCUCGUCUCAUCAUGCAGGUUCUCGUGAGGCUUAAUUAUUCCUGCGAGGCUUAAUUCCUAUACCAAGUUUUACAUACCUCUAUCCUUGCACUCAGGUGUCUCCAGGCCUGUGCAGUUGCUAGACUAACAACCACAUGCAUCUAGCCUCAUCUUGCUUUUCUUGCUGCCUCUGUGGAGUUCCCCUGAAAACUCCAUCAUUUGCUGCUGCUGCUGUUGCAGUUUGUCCUGACUUCUCCUUCCUCCAUCCUGCCCCUCGCCUCCUUUGCAGUCAGGGACCGAGCUAACAUCUUUAGGCUGCUUUGGCAGCCAAGUUUCAUCCUCUUGUGUCCAGCUGUGUCAGAUCUAGUGGAGUGUGGGAGUCGAGGCUGUCCCUUCGCUACUUCUCCCCCACUGAGAAAUGCUGAUGAAGGGUGUUCCUUUGUUAAUAUUAAUAUGCAGAUGCCACCAAGUUAGCCCCACGUCUGAAAAAAUUAUCAUGCCAUUUUCCUGAUGAGUUAACAGCCCUUUUGGACAAAGCAGAUGAACGUGCUGGAAGAAAUUAGGUCAGUGUUAGGAAACAUGUGGCUCUGUAGAUACAAUAGAGGUCCAUCUUCCAUCAGUCCCAGGAAGAACAGUCAAGGGUGGUCAGGUGGUUGUAGUCUGGCUUCACCUGGAAGUCAAUAGAUUCCCCACCUCUGAAUCAGAAAAUGCCUGGUCUGUAUCUCCGCUGUCUAGACCAGGGGUAGUCAAUCUGGGCCCUACCGCCCACUAGUGGGUGUUUCAGGAUUCCGGGUGGGUGGUAGCGGGUUCUGUGGCAUAUGUUACUGCAGCACUGGUGGGCGAUAAGGAAAUUUUACCAUCAAGAAAGAUGCAUUAGUGGGAGGUAGGUAUAAAAAGUUUGACUACCCCUGGUCUAGACCAUAAAAUGAAUCUUUGUCUUCAAGCUAUUUAUAUUGUUGAAAAUACAGAUUUCAGACCGCAAGCCUAUACCCGCUUACUUGAUCAUAAGGCCUAUUGACCACAAUGGCACUUCUGAGUAGACAUGUCUAAGUCUGCAUUGCUAGUUACUAAAAUUACUGUUUAAAUCAUUCAAACACAUGCUAUUUUUAAAAGCCAGACAAAACCUUUAUCAGCAGGUAUCUUACAUGACUGCAUAAUAGACCUACCUAAAUAUGAAACCUUUAAUAAAGCACCUUUGUAUAUAAAAGUGUACAGGUAUGAGCAAAUGCCAUCAUUGUUUUCUUCCUACUUAACUCCUAUGGAAUGGAUGCUGUAUUAUUUAGGAAGAAAACUCCCCCAUGAAUUCUUCCUUCGGGAGAUUUCCUGCCUUCCUGUCUCUGCUCAGUAGGAUAACUUGGACUUCAAUUCAUGUUUUCCCUCCAGUUCCUGUGCAACACAAUUCUUCUAAUUAUUGUGAUUACUGCAUCUGUUCAACAGCUUUUGUGCCCCUUUCUAAAGAGAUUUAUCACAGAGGCACACCUGCUGCCUUUACAUUGAACUUGAUGUUCUAGUGUUAAUUUCAGCCAGGAAUUUAAUUGUAUUAUUCUGCGAAGAACCAACCAACCUGGUUGUAAAGGACAGGCACAUCCAUGCGUGUGUGUGUGCACACAGGUUUCGACCAACCAAGAAUCGAAACAUGGGUGCAACCAUUAGUAUCUCACCUAUCCAUCUUUUUGUGAACCUUAGGUAUGGGGAACCUUUUGCCUUCCGGAUGUUGCUGAACUGCAACUCCCAACAUCCCUUGCCAUUUGCCAUGCUUGCUGAGGCUGAUGGGAGUUGCAGUUCACAGCCUUUGGCGGGCCAAAGGUUCCACACACCUACUUGGCCUUAUUCAAGACAGAGUCGCUCCCUGCCCAUGCCAUAUAUGAGGUCCACAGACUAGGUUAUUGGUCAUCUGGAAAGUUAGAUGGGUGGCAGGUGACGUCCACAGAACAGUAGCUUAUUUAAAGCAAAUGUGGCCUGCACGUUUAACAUUUAAUGCUGGCUUUUUCCCUGACAAAGGCUCUGUGCGCAACAGUCAGAAAUGCAGCGAGCUUAGCAUGGGAUUUGUGCCGGGGAAAGCUUCACAUGGGAGUUCCUUUGCAAGUUUCCCUUUGAAAGGAAAAGAUAGCAAUCCUCUCACAAUGUCAGUAGAGCAUCAUCUCCAAAGGGGCUUCCAAAGUUAACGACUCAGCUUCCCACAGUGGCGUUUUCUCAUUCAUACAAUACAUUCAGCUGGAUUUUUCUUUAAAGCUAUGAGCCUGAAACACUAAAACAACUUCCACUAAUUAGUUUUGAACUGUGCUUGGGAGUUGCUGUCCUUUUCCUACAACUGUAUAGCAUUUAAGAUAGCUUAGUAGGUCUCUUUCAGCCAUGGCUGUAUUUGAGAACUAGCCCUGAAAUAUCCACCUGGUGGCUAUGUGUAUUCAGAAGCUGUGUGUUCAUUGCUAGAGAUCUGACCACUGUGUUUUAAAUCAGCAGCCUCUGGGGUCCUUUGGUGUGGUAGGUCCUAGGUCUCUCCCCUUCUCUGUUCUUUCCCUUUAGAAAGUUUUGGUUCUCUGUGAGCUCAAGCACUGUGAAACUACUGACACUGAGAGCCCUGGGGAACCAGCUUUCCUAGAGCGAUAGUUCCUAAUUUUGCAGUCUUCUGUUUGAAGGGCUGCCUGAGGAAGGCCCUAUGUUUGAGGGACUGUUUGAGGGACAAUGCCCAGCUUGAAGAUGAAGAACCAUUAGAAGGGGCGGCACAAGGGUAUUGGGAGUUCCCCAUCAACAACACCUGGACAGUAGAUGGAGCAAGCCCUGCCAUUAGCCAAAGUGGGGCAACCACCUCAGGCAGCAAAUAUUGGACAGCAGCAAUGGUAGCUCCCUGGCUCUUCUUUCUAAGCAUUCCCUGGGCAUCUCUGUCUGUUGGAGGACAGCGCUGUACUUGCCAUAUGUCCUACCCACUCCCAAACUAUCCAGUGUUGAACUAAAACUAAACUGCCAGUCCUUGCUUGUGGGAUGAAGAGGGAGCACCAGUUUGUUCUUUGCCUCAGGCAGCAAAAUAUCUUGGGCCAGCCCCGUGGAACAUGGGUCACCCGGUCACAACCUUUCCCACCACUUAUGGUGAGGUGCAUUGUACUGUCAUUUAGGUUUAAAUAAUUUUUUCCAAACUGCAGCUAUGCAGAUUAAUCAGGAUAGGCACAUUAUAUGCAAAUCAGCACCUUCCCCCUUUUAAAAAAUUCCUCCUAUGGGGGCAGUACUUAAGUGACCACACUACUAAGAAGCUCUUUGGAUCCCAGGCCACAGAUCCCCACUGCUUCUACUUCCAUAUUGUGCUUAUUUCAUCUGAAACACCCCCAAGUCCAUUUGUAAUUAAUGACUGGGGCCAAAAUAGUUGCUUUAGGCAUGCCUAAAACUUGUGCAAACCCAGUGGGACUUUUGCCAUUCCCCACCCACCUUGAAUCGCACAGCCCCUGCGACAUUCUACAUGCUGCUUUUGACAUUUCUCCAAGUUUCUGGUCAACUUCAGCCGUCUCUGAAUGGUGGUUGGAGCAAAGGCAUUCAUGAAAUCUGAGUCCAGAGCCCCUUUGGGUGCAUGGAAUGAUCCAAAUCCUACCCAUCAUCACCAUCAUCUAGCAACCCAGAUUUUGCCUUUCUGCAAAUUGAACCAAAAGCGCAACUCCUUUCCACCUUCUUGUGUUCACUAGUUGUUAUUUGAGAGACUGGUGCACAAUUAGACCAGGAUCAGUGUCUGCUAUUAUUAUUAUUUAAUAGGGUCUCCUUGAAAUUUUCUUUAGCUGAACAAGAAACUGCUACUGUUUACAUCCAUCCUUUCAUUUCCCACUCAAAAAAAAAAGAAAGAAAGAAAGAAGAAAAGUGGCGGAGGCACUGAGGUUACUAUUGAAGUUAACACAGCCUUUGCAUAGAUCAGGCAUAGGCAAACUCCAGCCCUCCAGAUGUUUGGGACUACAAUUUCCAUCAUCCCUGACCACUGGUCCUGUUAGCUAGGGAUGAUGGGAAUUGUCCCAAACAUCUGGAGGGCCAGAGUUUGCCUGUGCCUGGCAUAGAUUAUAUUAGGGGAGCAGAGAAAAGGAUGGGGUAAUCGCAGGAGUGGAGCAAGGGGUGAUCAGCUGAUGGUGUUUGAAUCACCUUAAUGAGGUUAGAAUUGAUCAGGGAGGUCAUACCUGCCUUUAAUGAUUCCUCUUAUGCCUUGCACAAGCUUUUCAAAACCUCUUCAGAUCUAGCUUCAGAGAAGACACUUCUCCAAUGGAGACCAAAUCACUGCCAAGUGGAGCAGUCUAGCUCCUCAAUCUGCCUGUUAGAGAUGAUGCUUCUGCUAAAUUUGUGGCAGAGGGCAUUUGCCAUCCUUGCAAUGUUUCCAAUAUUGGACUCCUGUUUGCAAUUCACGGCGCCUCAUUGCAUCCUUUUGACCAACAGCUCUGCUUGGUUCUUUACCAUUCAUUUGUCACUUGGGUGUUUAUUCUUCCCCAAGUGAAAUAAUACUACUUUUAUUAUCUAAAAGCAUUUCUAAGCCACUUAAUAUUUUAAAAUCUCCAAGCAGUGUACAAAAAUAAAACAUGGAACAAUGAUCAAUAUUAUUUUUAAAAAUGCAACAUAAAAAGCCAGUUAAACAGUAUUAUAAAAAUUAAAAUUAGGAAUUUGGUAACAGGGUCCAAUCUUAUGAGCAAAAAUAUAUGUAUUUAGAAGAUGCCUGAAGCAAAUGAUGGAUGAUGUUUCACAUAUGGUAGAAGGAAGGGUAUGGUACAGUACAGAGUCAGUAGCAGAAGAUGCCUGUUUUCGGGUGUGGUACCAUGAAUCAAACUUCCCCAGAUGAUAUAAGAUGAUAUACAGGUCUAUAAAAGGGCAGGUGGUCUUUUAGAUAAUUCGUAGUUGAUCGACAGUUCCCCCAUCACAGGUGUAAUCUGUAAUAUACUCUAUGUCUCUAGGGUGCCAGGUGCAAAAGAGGACAGGGAUCCUGCCCCCUAAUAGUUGUGCAGUUCUACACAACUAUUAAAAGUGUAGCAUCCCUGUCGUCUCUUCCCUCUGACCAUCUUAUGUAUUUUCCUUUCGUAGAAUUUCAUUCCUCACUUACUGUCCCAAAUUACCCAUGUUGGCAGAAUCAUUCUGAAAUUCUAACCCUGCCCUUUGGUCUUCCUCUGGAGUCAGACAAAUGCACUUUGGACAUAAACUUGUGGAAACUUCCCAUUGAAGUAUUUCUCCCCCAAUAUGAAACUGGCUUUUAAAUCAGUUUAUGAGUCUUUCUGAUUGCAAGUUGCCUUUUGCAGUUCUGUUAAAGCUCCCAAAUAAUUCGAUUUGGUACAUAUCAGCUUGCUCAUUGUUUUGUAGCUGCUGUGGAAGAAUGUGUGUUGGUAAGGUAACUGUUUUCUGCUAGCAAACAGUGGCAUUCCUCAAUUUAUCCUUAGAUCCCCUUUCUCCCCUCCCAAAAGAAAACUGUGUUAUUUCCAACAAAGCCAUUGCUUGAGUGGAACAACUUCCACUCGCACUUCCCUUCCCCUCUCCUCCCUCAUAUGCUCCCCAGUCCAGAUCUGUAAUAAUAAUAAUAAUAAUAAUAAUAAUAAUAAUAAUAAUUUAUUAUUUAUACCCCGCCCAUCUGGCUGGGCCUCCCCAGCCACUCUGGGCGGCUUCCAAAAAAAUAUUAAAAUACUGUAAUACAUCAAACAUUAAAAGCUUCCCUAAAUAGGGCUGCCUUCAGAUGUCUUCUAAAACUCUGGUAGUUGUUGUUCUCUUUGACAUCUGGUGGGAGGGCAUUCCACAGGGAGGGCGCCACUACCGAGAAGGCCCUCUGCCUGCUUCCCUGUAACUUGGCCUCUCGCAGUGAGGGAACCGCCAGAAGGCCCUCAGUGCUGGACCUCAGUGUCCGGGUAGAACGAUGGGGGUGGAGACGCUCCUUCAGAUAUACUGGACCAAGAAUCUGAAGGAUCCCUAGUCCUGAGAAACAGAUUUAGGGCUGCAGGGAGCAUGAGGUGGGAGGAGACACUCACACCACGACUUCGUUGGGUACAACCCACUGAAAUUGCAUACUUCUCCAGAUUUCUGGCUUUACAUGCUUUUACCUCACCAAGAUCCUUUCUUGGGUUCACAUUUAGCCAGUUCUUCUGCUGUAAAUUCAUUCUGAUUAGCAGAGAGAUGGAUAUGUUCACUUUACUAACAUUUCCAUUCUCUUUUCUUCUCUUUCAGGAAUAUUGUUGAAGGAUCCCUAACUGGAAAUAUCUCCCAGAAGAAUUUCAAAACCUGUGACCAGGCGUGCAGGGAUAUAUUGCCAACCUGUUUCAAGUGUUAAAAUCAGGAAACCAAAAGUGGACAAUAUCCUCUGAAACUUUUAAUUCUCUUGUAGCGUACAAUUUGUUUCAUCUAACGCUAUGUUAAUUUUUUUACAAUAUUGUCAAAUGAAAAAUCGCAUUACAAAGCCAGUGUUCCUCUUUCAUCUGAGACAACUGCAUCAAGUUAAAUAACCCAAAGUAAUAAUAACAUUUUGAUCUUUGUUCUAAACCGACUGUAUAUAGUAGUGUGUGUGUGUGUGUGUGUGUGUGUGUGUGUAUAAAUUUAUAGAGAUCAAGAAUAAAAUACAGGCCUAUGUUCAGA